AAGGUAUACAGGUCGGAACUAAACAGUACAAAUUGAGAGCAUUUGCAGAUGACUUAGUAUUGACGUUACAGGAGCCAGAAUCUAGUACUAAAAGGGUUUUAGAACUGAUUCAAGAAUUUGGUCAAGUGGCAGGAUUUAAAUUGAAUAAGUCAAAAACCAAGGUUUUAGAGAAAAAUUUAACACCGAUUGAAAGAGAGAGGUUUCAGAAUGAGACAGGUUUAACAGUGGUUAAGAAAGUUAAAUAUUUGGGGAUUAACAUGACAGCAAAAAAUGGGAACUUAUUUAAAGAUAACUAUGAAAAAUGCUGGUCUGAAGUGAAAAAAGAUUUAGAAAUUUGGUCAAAUUUGAAGCUUUCACUGCUGGGCCGUAUUGCUGCGAUAAAAAUGAAUGUAUUGCCUAGAAUGUUGUUUUUGUUCCAAACUUUGCAGAUUGUGGACAAAAUGGAUUGUUUCAAGAGGUGGCAGAAAGAUAUUUCUAAAUUUGUCUGGCAGGGCAAGAAGCCUAGAAUAAAAUUUAAAAUACUAACAGAUGCAAAGGAAAGAGGUGGAUUUGCCCUGCCAGACCUCAAACUUUACUAUGAAUCAGCAGCCUUUUGCUGGUUGAAAGAAUGGCUACUUCUUGAAAACACUGACAUUUUGGACUUGGAAGGUUUUAAUAAUGUAUUUGGAUGGCAUGCAUAUCUAUGGUAUGAUAAGGUCAAAGCACAUAAAGCAUUUAGAAACCACAUUGUCAGGAAAGCGCUAUUUAAUGUUUGGUUAAGAUAUAAGGAUUUGUUAGAAAAUAAAACCCCAAGGUGGCUGUCACCAAUGGAAGCGAAAGCCUUGAAAAAGGUCAAUAUGGAGGUCAAAUGGCCGAAAUAUUGGGAAAUUCUGGAACAAGACGGAGAUAGACUGAAAUUGCAGAGUUUUGAAAAACUAAAAAACAAAGUGCGAGACUGGCUUCAUUAUUAUCAGAUAAUGGAGGCAUUUAAAUUGGACAGGAAAAUUGGCUUCCAGGUGGAAAGAUCCAAAUUAGAAACAGAAUUGUUAGAACCCAAAACUAAGAAUUUGUCAAGAAUGUACAACUUGCUGCUGAAAUGGAAUACUCAGGAUGAAACGGUAAAAUCGGCUAUGAUUAAAUGGGCACAGGACGUUGGACAUAAUAUUAUGUUUGCUGACUGGGAACAGUUAUGGACCACAGGUAUGAAAUUUACGGCAUGUAAUGCCUUAAGAGAGAAUAUUAUGAAAAUGAUAUACAGGUGGUACAUAACCCCAGUCAAGCUUGCAAAAAUUUAUCACUUGCCCGAUAACAAAUGUUGGAAAUGUAAAGAAACUGAAGGUACAUUUUUUCACCUUUGGUGGACGUGCCCAAAGAUUAAGGCUUUCUGGGAAAUGAUAUAUAAUGAAUUAAAAAAGGUAUUUAAGUAUACCUUCCUAAGAAACCAGAGGCCUUUCUCCUGGGCAUAGUCGGCCAAAUGGUGUUAAAAAAGGAUAGAACUUUCUUUAUGUAUGCAACAACAGCAGCAAGAAUACUCAUCGCAAAGUAUUGGAAGACACAAGAACUUCCCACGCUGGAGGAAUGGCAGAUGAAACUUAUGGACUAUAUGGAAUUGGCGGAAAUGACUGGUAGAAUCCGUGACCAGGGAGAAGAGUCGAUGGAGGAAGAUUGGAAGAAAUUCAAAGACUAUCUUCAGAAACAUUGCAAAAUUAAAGAAUGUUAGAGUGAUGUUGGACUGAAAAUAAGCGGUUUCCAGCUGUACAGGUUAAAGUUAAUGAUAGACUAAGAUUAAAGAUUAGGAUUAAAGAUGUUUAAAGAAAUGGAAAUUUGACAUUAAGAGGGAAAAUUUUAACGUUAUAAGAUACUAAGACUAAAGAUCAGGUUUAAAGAAGUGGAAGUUAUAUAUUUCAAUAUUUUAUUAAAGCUAAAGAUUGGGAUUAAAAAAGUGGAAAAGAAAUUGCUGGACAAACAAUUUGGAUUGGAAUACAAAAGAGGGAGGUAUGAGGAAGUCCAGAAAAUAAGUAACUAAAAAACGGUUAUGGAAAAGAGAUAUUGUUUUUAAUUGUUAUGUUCCUUGUUUCUUUAUUGUUGAACUUUGUUUUGUUUUUGGUGUGUGUUUUUGUUAUAUGUAUUGUGUAUGCUUUUCUUUUUUUUCUUUGUUGUUUAAAAUUUUAAUAAAAAUUAUUUUUUUAAAAAAAUGAAUCUCUUCCAUCAACACUUUUUUAAAUCUCUUAGCCAAAAUAUCUGCAAAAAUUUUGUAAUCCACAUUGAGUAAUGAUAUGGGGCGGUAGUUCUUAAGCUGUGUCUUUUCAGUCUCUGUUUUCGGUACAAGAGUAAUAUAUGCUUCUUUCCACGACUCUGGUGCUUUCCCCCUCCAUUAUUUCAUUACAGACCUCUUUCAAAGGUUGUAUUAACCAUUCUUUCAAGGAUCUGUAAUAUCUAGAAGUCAAUCCAUCCGGUCCUGGAGACUUACCCAAUUGCAUAUUUUGAAUGGCACCUUCUAUCUCCUGUUCAGUUAUUUUAUAGUUCAACAUUAGUUUAUUUUCUUGAGAGAUUUUUUGUAAUCCAUUUGUUUUCAAAAAUUGGUCUAAGUCUGUUUCUUUCAAUGGCCCUUGAGUAUAUAAUCGUUUAAAGUAUCUCUGGAAACAAUUUCUAAUCUCUGCAGGGUUCUGUAUAUUUCUUCCUUCCACUUCUAAAUUCGUGACUGUAUUUAAUUUUUGUCUUUUUUUCAUUUGCCAAGCCAACAGUUUCCCACAUUUGUUAGCCGACUCAAAUGUCUUUUAUCUCAUUUGUUUAAUUUUCCAUUCUAUUUCCUGAUUCAUCAUUUUCAUAUAUUGUACUUGAUGCAACUUUAAUUCUCUCAGAAUCUCUUGAGAUUUUGGAUUUGUUCUCAAUCUUUUUUCACUUUCCUUUAUUUUCUCCAAUAUCUUAUCCUUCUUCUCAUUUUGGAUUCUCUUCUUUACUGCGUUCUGUUGUAUCAGGAACCCUCUCAUAACCGCUUUACUUCCGUCCCAGAUUACUCUUUUUUCCACAUUGGUGCUCAAAUUUAUCUCGAAGUAGUCUCUCAGAGUUUUUUGGGCCUUCUUAAGCACAUCUUCAUCUCUAAAUAAGGUGUCAUUCAUCCUCCAUCUAAAGGAGCCAGUUGGUGUUAGUUUCAUUUCCAUCUUGACAGCAUUAUGGUCAGAGCAAGUUUUCGGGCAGAUUUCCACCUUUCUUGUUUUUGGUGCCAUUCCUCUAGUUACCCAUAUUUGGUCAAUUCUUGUCCAUGUCAUUUUGGCUUCAGAAAAGAAGGUUCCCUCUUUAGCCAUGGGGUUUCUUGUUCUCCAGAUAUCAACUAAGUCCAAGUUGUCUGUCAUCUCAAAAAAGGUUUUCGGUAGUCUACCAUCCUUAGUGACUACCUGUCUUUGUGUCUUGUCCAUAUGUGUAGAUACCACUCCAUUCAUGUCUCCCAUCAAAAUCAUGUUGUAAUCCAAAUAGUCCAUCAAAGUCUCAUGCAACUUCUUAAAGAAAUCAGAUUUCCCUUCAUUUGGUGCGUAAAUUCCUACUAUCAAAAAUUUUUCUCCUUGUGUUUGAAUUUCAAUUGCCACAAAUCUUCCUUGGUCAUCUUUAAAAAUAAAUUUCGGUGAUAUUCUGUCCUUUGCAUAAAUCACAACCCCUCUUUUUUUAACUUUAUCCGAUGAAAUAAACUCCUGACCAAGUCUUUUAUUUAUCAAUAAUUUCCUGUGUAAUCUUGUAAUAUGUGUUUCUUGUAAACAGAUCAAGUCCAAUUGUUCCUUUUUUAAUAAAUGAAACACAGAUUUCCUUUUCUGAGGGGAAUUGAGGCCAUUACAAUUCCAGCUUAGUAGUUGCAGGGCCAUGAUGUAAUUAUUUUGGUUCUCCUCCAACAGCACCUAGUGCCUGUUCCUGUUCCGUCGGUGGUAUCACGUUUUUCAGGCGGUCUUUUAGUUCCAGAGAUAGUCCUGGUGUGUCUAAAGUUUCUCUUACAAUUGCUCUUAACUCUCCUGUAGCUUUCUUCUGUAGGUCUUCUCCGUGGUCUCUCCAAAAUUUGUCUUUGUCGUCUUCCGAUCUUAUUUUCCUCUUCUUUCCUUUGUAACUAAAGGAUAGGCCUUGAGGAAAUUCCCACCUAAAGUUAAUUCUGUUACUUCUCAACAGGGUAACCAGGUCUUUGUAGUUAGACCUGAGAUCCAGAAGGUGUUUCGGAAUGUCCUUAAAUAUCUCCACUUUUGACUGUUGUAUUUCCAGUGUCUUCUGGAAAUGCAAACUCAAAAUCUUGUCUCUCUGUUUUGUUCGGAGAGUGAUCAAACAAUCUCUCACCUUCUUUCCCCCUCCUUUUCCAAGUCUAAAAGCAUUCACUAUUUUAAAACUGUCUUUCCCCAAAUCUGGAUUCCAAAAAUCUAAGAAUUCCUGUGUAAGAAAAUCAACUAAGUUGUCUUUCUCCACUUCAGGUACAGCUCUGACCCUUAAGUUCACUUGUUUCUCCUUCAACUCGAUCAUAGACAGGGUUGACUUAUGGUCUUCAAGUUGUUUAUGUAGCGGUGGUAUCUUCUCUUGAACCUCUGCAACAGUAGCUGUAGCAAUUUCUUUAGCCUCUUCGGCAAUCUGACGUGUUGAGGCAGAUUCCUGUAAUAGUUUCUGAAUAGUUUCUGUAUUAGUAUUUACUUUCUGUCCCAAAUUAUUGAUGCUUGCUGUAUUUUGAUUAAUACGUGUUGUAUUUUGAUCAAUCUUAUCUGAUGCCUCUGCUACUUGUUUACUUAUUCUAUCCAAAGAUUCAUUAAUUUUAGCCAGUGCCUGAGCAAGGGCAUCAUCACUUGCCAUACCUUUAGUUUUAGGUUGUGCCGAUGAGGUUGCUAUUGGAACCCCAGGGGGGCCAGAUGUCGAGGCUCUCCUUUGCAAUCCACCGUCUGUACGAUAUAGUCUGCCAGACCUUGUUGCUUGUAACGAGUCUAACUUCUCUUUCCCAUCUGCCAUACCCCUCUAGAUAAAACUCAAGGUCAGUCACACGGUUAGAUUCAAAGUUGUUUUGAAAUGGAAAGUUCCAGGAAAACAGUGUGAGAAAUUCCUCAGGCCAGCUGCAGUUGUAACUAGUUGUAACAAGUUCCAAAUUCCACUAGGGGGACACUGUUACAGUCAUAAAGUUCUUAAAGUAAUUUACUUCUUCCUUAAGUCCCCCAGUUCACCAGAAAGAUAACAGUCUAUCUUAAACAGUUACUUUAGGGCCAGGAGAUACCUAUCAACAAUAUUGUAUCCAAGUUAUAUUUCAGAUGCAGGACUAGCUGUCAAAAUACGUUCAAAGACAGUACAUUCUCUCCGACUUUUUCCUGUCACUGGGAACCCAUUCCAGGGGGUUUGAGCAGUGGUUUUUAUCUCCUCUUUCUCACUUCUUCUUAGGGAAAUAAGGUUCAAAACUUCCCCCCCUCUUCCCCCAAAUUGAGGGGGGGGGGGAAAUCCCGGUUAGAUGAUCGGAUUGUAAUCCUUUUAUGCUCUUUUAAAGCUUCCGCUUUCAAGUUCAAUGCUUUGUUCUAUCUACAAGAGCGGGAGGCAGACUUCCCUUUUAUACCUCUCCGCUUCGGCCAAUUACUUUCAUAUUUUGUACAGUUCCUUAAUUACGUAGUAAUCCUACUCACGGAUCGUUGUUUUCAAAGCCAAAUUGUCAAGGAAGAAAGGCAGCGCUCUCCGGCAACAGCUACGCGGCUUCACUCCACAGAAGAAGCAGACGACUCACAGCACAGCACCACUUCCCCGCUCCGUUCCGGAGCCCGUUGCCGGGUUCCUUCACCGAUUGGGGGGGCGCAAACAGUGCCCGCCGAGUCCCAGGUUCACAGGCUUCACCCGCCUGUGAUUUCAGGGGUCCCCGCUGCGCCGAAGCGGUAUCCGACCCUGUUUCUGUGGAGCGGGUUCCCUCCGAGUUAGAGGUUGGCGCCACCUCCGGAAGCCCUGGUAAUCCUGAAUUCUCCAUCUAAAAGUUUUUCCCUCAUAUCCUUUUAUUUCAAAUUUUAUUGCACUAUGGUCUGAAAUUACUCUUGGUUGAAUUUCUAUAUCUAAUAUUCUUGGAGUCAAUUCAUUAGAGACCCAUACUUGAUCUAUUCUUGACAUUGACUGAUUUGGUUCAGAAUGGAAUGUGAACUCUUUUCCUAACGGAUGUCUAAGCCUCCAGAUGUCUAUCAAAUUACAAUUCUUUGUCAUUGAGAAAAAAGUCUUAGGUAAUUUUCCAUCCUUACUCGUCCCUGUUGCUCUCAGCCUAUCCAUUUCCAUUGACACAACUCCAUUCAUGUCUCCCAUUAUUAUAAUCUUUUGGUCCAUAUAUUCAAACAAUUUUUCUUCUAGAUUUUUGUAAAAAUCAGUCUUAUUACCAUUGGGUGCAUAGAUCCUGUAAUAAAUGUAGGGGUUGCUCGUGCGCAAGUUGGUGCCACUCCUGGCUAGGUUGCCUUGUUAAACCUUUUCUGUCUGGACAGCCCCUGCACUUCGUGGCUGUUCAUUCGCUAGCAGAAUCCGUCAGUGGGUGUUUCUUAAACCUUUUCCAGCAUAAAAGUGGUUUGACUCCAAGUCUCCUCCUACUCUCCCUGCGCGGAAGUCUUCUGCGCAGGGAGGGCGUGGGUAGUGGAGGACCCAUGCUCUCCUCGCUGAUCUCCGGCGAGGAGUCCUGGAGCCCUCUCGCCGAUUCCCCCAUCUGCCCCCCUUUAUCCCUGGUGUUACGCUGAUUUCUUUCCCCAGCUGGUGAGCCGCCUCUCCCCCUGCUGGGCCCCUCUCCAGCAUCGCUCGAGAGCCUAGCCUCCGCCUCUGGCUCCGAUGUCAGUUCCCUGACAUCCACCUCCCCCCCAGGACCCCCUUCACCCCCGGCCUGACCUUUUGAUCCAACUUCGUCCCUUUCCUCGGCCGACGAUGCGGAGAAUCCCCGGAAGGAGCUGUCGCCAUCCUCUGAGGAUUCAAAACCCGCUUCCCACCCGCUCUGAUCUCUCCCUGCGGGGUGGGCCUCCCAGUCUGAUUCUUCUUCCUCCGAAGCCUCUCCUCCCUCCUCUUCGGAGGCAGAAAAACCCACAAAAUCCUCUUCAUCGUCUGUGGUUCCAAAUUGCUCCUCCCAGAAUCUCGCUAGUGGCUUGGGUUUGUCCGGGAACAGGCUGUGGAAUUCCUCCACAAGAUACCCAUCAUUGAUUGCCUCCGCGGGAACCCACGUGUUUUCCGACCCGGGUUCUCCCUCCCAAGCUACCAGGUACUCCACCUGGCGCCCUCGCCACCUUGAAUCGAGUAUUUCUGUGGCCCAGUUGUGGUGUUCCCUCUCCUCUAUCUGCGGGUGUGUGGUGACUUCGCCUUCCCGCCCCGGGACUCCCCGCCACUCCCUGUACGGUGAGAGUAGGGACCUAUGGAACACCGGGUGUAUCUUCAUGUUGUCCGGCAACCUGAGCUUGAAUGCCACGGGGUUCACCUGCUGUGUUACCUCAAACGGCCCCAGCCGCCUUGGCUGCAACUUCUUGCACCCCCCCUUAAAGGGUAACCCUUGGGUUGACAACCACACCCGGUCCCCCACCCGUAUGGUGCUUGUCUGCCUGCCUCUUGUAAAUUUCCUUGGCCCGUUCUAAGUUCAUCUUAAGUUGCUGGUGCAGGGCCUCCAUUUCUUCCACAAACUGCUCUGCCGCUGGUAUGCUCCACCCUUCCUCCCCACUCCCCGGGAAGGCCCUGGGGUGACACCCAUAAUUGGCCAUGAACGGGCUCAUUCCCGUGGACACAUGUUCAGCGUUAUUGUACGCAGAUUCAGCCAGCGCUAGUUUCUCUACCCAAUCGUUCUGCCUCUCGCUGACGUAGCAGCGUAGGUAUUGCUGGAGUACACUGUUCGCUCUUUCUGCUUGCCCGUUGGUUUCCGGGUGUCUCGCUGUCGAGAAGCUCACCUCUACCUGCAGCAAGCUCAUGAGCUUCCUCCAGAACUGGGAAGUAAAUUGUUUUCCGCGAUCUGAGACGACCCUCGAGGGAGCCUCAUGCAACCUGAAGAUGUGAUCCACAAACAACUUGGCUGUCUCCUCUGCGGUCACCGCAUGUGAACAAGCUAUGAAAUGGCACAUCUUUGUCAAUAGAUCGACUACUACCAUGACUGCUGUCUUCCCCCUGGACUUGGGCAAAUCGGUCAUAAAAUCAAUGGACACCACUUCCCAGGGUCUUCCCGGCGUGGGUAAGGGUUCCAGUAGCCCUGCGGGGGCAGCCCUUUCCCCCUUUGCCCUUUGGCAGCGGUCGCACCCCCGUACAUAUUCCCGUACAUCCUCCCUCACCCUUGGCCACCAGAACUGCCUGGUGACGAGCAGCAUGGUUUUGUGCUGUCCAAAGUGCCCAGCUGUGGGGUUGUCGUGGAGUUGUUUGAGUACCUUCCCUCUCAGGGUCUCCCCCGGUACAUACAGCGCCCCCUAUAGUACAGCACCCCUUCCUUUUCCUCAAAACCCCCAUGGUUUUCUCUUCCGUCUCGGAGUUCCCUGAUUUUACUUUGGGCGAACAUGUCGUUUCUAGUAAGCCCGGCCAGUUCUCGUUUCCCAACCAAGGCUCCCCCACACACCCAUCGGUCCUCGGGGAUCACGUGUCAUAUCUCCGGCGGUCCCUCUCCUUCCAUGUACUCUGGCUUCCUGGAGAGAGCAUCUGCUCUUACGUUUCCCUCUCCCGGCACAUAUCGGAUCUCGAAGGAAAACUUGGAGAACUCCUGUGCCCAUCUAAUCUGUCUCUGGUUGAGUACUCGCGCGGUCCUCCAGUAUUCCAAGUUCUUGUGAUCAGUACAAACCUGGAUCUUGUGCUGCGCCCUAUUAACAGAUGUCUCCAUCGGCGAAACGCCGCAUAGAUCGCCAGCAGUUCGCGGUCAUACACCGUAUAGUUUUGCUCCGACUUGCUCAGCUUCCUCGAGAAAAAGGCACACGGCUUCCAUUCCUGCUUGCUCCUCCCUGGCUGCAAAAGUACUGCCCCAAUGGCUCUGUCGGACGCCUCGGUCUCUAGCCUCAUGGGUUUCUCCAGAUCAACGUGUAGGAGCUGCUCUUCCGAAGCGAAUGCCUUCUUCAGUCUUUCAAAGGAUUGCUGGGCACUUUCUGUCCAGGCGAACUUCCUUUUGCUACUGAGACAAUCUGUGAUGGGCGCCGUUAAGUGGGCGAAGUUCUUGAUGAACUUCCUGUAGAAGUUGCUGAACCCUAGGAACCUCUGCACAUCCUUCCGGGUUUGGGGGCUUUCCAUUCCAGCACUGCCUGCACCUUGCUUGGGUCCAUAGCCAGUCCCUUGUCUGACAACUUGUACCCCAGAAACUCGACCUUUCUGGAGUGGAAUUGGCAUUUUUCCAGCUUGACCCACAACUGGUGCUUCUGCAGCCUCUCUAGCACUUCCCUGACGUCUCUGACAUGUUGCUUCUCAUUGUUUGAAUAGAUUAAGACGUCGUCCAAGAAGGCUACGCAGUUCUUGUACAGCAGGGGACCCAACACGUGGUGCAUGAAUGCUUGGAAGCAGGCGGAGCCCGAUUGUAAUCCAAAUGGCAUGACUAAGUACUCAAAAGCCCCCAGGGGGGUGAACAUGGUGGUUUUCCAUUCGUCCCCCUCCCUUACCCUGAUCAAAUUGUACGCUCCCCUGAGGUCCAGCUUGGUAAAAAUUUUCCCCUGCCUCACCCGUGUUAAAAUGUCGUCAAUCCUGGGCAUUGGGAAGGUCACGGGUUCUGAUACCAAAUUUAACGCCCUGUAAUCUACGACUAAUCUGGGCUGGUUAGUCCCUUUUUUGUCCACAAAGAACACCGGACUGCCCCCCACCGCUUUUGAUUCCCUUAUGAACCCCAUCUUCAGAUUCUUGUCAAUAAACUGCCGUAAUUCCUGCAUCUCCCGGUCCGACAUGGCAUACAGCUUACCCACCGGCAGCUGAGCCCCUGGGAUUAAGUUGAUUUGGCAGUCAAAGGGCCUAUGGGGGGUAGUCUGUCCGCCUCCUUCUCGCUGAAGACUUCCUUUAGGUCAGCAUAUGGUGGUGGCACCUCUCCCUUUGUUUCCACCGCCAGCCCAGCCACCCUAGCCACUGUCAUUCUUGGGGUUUCCCCCCCAGACAGUGUUCCAAACAGUAAGCUUACCCAAAGGUGACUGACCGCUGAUGCCAUGACACUACUGGAUCAUGCAGUGCCAGCCAGCUCAUUCCCAGUAUUAUUGGGGUCCUGCCAGUGUGGCCACGUGAAAGGCAAUGGUCUCCGUGUGCCUGGAAACCCUCAUUCGCAUUGGCGGGGUCUGGUGUGUCACUUCCCUCCCAGAAGUUCCCUGCCAUCGAUGGUGGUCACUUGCAAGGGAAAAUCCAGGGGUAGCAAGUGUAUUUGGUGCUCCAAAGCGAAGUCCCUGCUAAAGAAAUUGCAGGAGCUGCCCGAAUCCAGCAGCUCCUCAACCUUGACUGGGUGCCCAUUCGGGAGUUCUAGCACCACUGCUAUGGCUAUCGCUGCCCUGGGGGGUUCAGGCUGGGGCACUUCUAUUGGUUGCUGGCCUGGCUGCUGGCCCCUUUGGUUGGCAGCCAGGCACUGUCGUUUCCCUCCUGCAUCCCUUUGGAACCUUCCCUCCGCCUCUAGCUCCAAUGGCAGUUCCCUGACAGAGCCUUCCCAGGCCGCAGAGCCAAUGGAAAUCGAUGGAGCGUGCGUGUGCGAAGUUUCAAACGCCAGUGAUGCCCGGAAAAAGGAGGGGAAGGAGUGGAAAACUACCAAAAAGUGUUUCCUUUGUCAGCGGCCAGGACAUUUUGCGAAGGUCUGUCCCCAACGAAAGGCCUGGCAAGGCAUGAUGGGGACAGCAGACCACGAUGAGGAGGGGGAGAAGGGGCCGGUGCAGGGAAACGAAAAAGCCUGGCUGCCGACCAACAGGGGCAGCAGCCAGGCCAGCGACCAGUAGAAGUGCCCCGGCCUGACCCUCCCAAGGCAGCUAUAGCCAUUGAAGUGGUGCUAGAACUCCCAAAUGGGCACCCAGUCAAGGUGAAUAGUCUGCUGGAUUCUGGGUCCUCAUGUAACUUCUUCAGUAGAGACUUCGCCCUGGAGCACCAGCUCCACCUGUUGCCCCUAGAUUUCCCCUUGCAGGUGACCACCAUUGAUGGCAGGAAACUACUGGGGGGGGGGGUGACACACCAGACACCGCCAAUGCGGAUGAGUGUUUCCAGGCACACAAAAACCAUUGCCUUUCACGUGGCCACGCUGGCAGGACCCCCAAUAAUACUGGGAAUGAGCUGGCUGGCACUACAUGACCCAGUGGUGUCAUGGCAUCAGCGGUUGCUCACCUUUGGGUCAGCUUACUGCUUAGAACACUGUCUGGGAGGGAAGGAACCAAGAAUGACUGUGGCUGGGGUGGCCCUGGAGGAAAAAGGGCGGGUGCCACCACAAUAUGCAGAUUUGAAGGAGGUCUUCAGCAAGAGAGAGGCAGACAGACUGCCCCCCCACAGGCCAUUUGACUGCCAAAUCAACCUGCUUCCAGGGGCCCAGUUACCGGUGGGUAAGCUGUAUGCCAUGUCCGACCGGGAGAUGCAGGAGUUGAGGCAGUUUAUUGACAAGAACUUGAAGAGAGGUUUCAUAAGGGAAUCGAAGGCGGUGGGGGGAAGUCCAGUGUUCUUUGUGGACAAAAAAAACACCAAUCAGCCCAGAUUAAUUGUGGAUUACAGGGCCAUAAACCUGGUGUCAGAACCCGUGGCCUUCCCAAUGCCCAGGAUUGACGAUAUUUUGACACGUGUGAGGCAGCGGAAGAUUUUUACCAAGCUGGACCUCAGGGGGGGCAAACAAUCUGAUUAGAAUAAGGGAGGGGGACGAAUUGAAAACGACCAUGUUCACCCCUCUGGGGGCUUUUGAGUAUUUAGUUAUGCCAUUUGGAUUACAAUCGGGAUCCACCUGCUUUCAAUCCUUCAUGCACCAUGUGUUGGGGGCCCUGCUGUACAAGAAUUGCGUGGCCUUUUUGGAUGACGUCUUAAUCUAUUCGGAGAAUGAAACGCAACACGUCAGAGAUGUCAGGGAGGUGCUACGGAGAUUGAAGAAGCAUCAGUUGUGGGUCAAGCUGGAAAAAUGCCAAUUCCACGCCAGGGAGGUCGAGUUUCUGGGGUACAGGUUGUCAGACAAAGGACUGGCCAUGGACCCAGGCAAGGUGAAGGCAGUGCUGGAAUGGAAGGCCCACAAAAACAGAAAGGAUGUGCAGAGGUUCCUAGACUUCAGCAACUUCUACAGGAAGUUCAUAAAGAACUUCGCUCACUUGACAGCGCCCAUAACGGAUUGUCUUAGUAGCAAAAAGAAGUUCGCGUGGACAGAGGAUGCGCAGCAAUCCUUUGAGAAACUGAAGAAGGCGUUCGCCUCGGAAGAGCAGCUCCUGCACGUGGAUCCGGAGAAACCCAUGAGACUGGAGACGGACGCGUCCGACCGCACGACUGGAGCGGUACUUUUGCAACCCGGGUCCAAGGAGAACUGGAGACAGUGUGCCUUUUUCUCUAGGAAGCUGAGCAAGUCGGAGCAAAACUACACGGUGUAUGACCGAGAACUGCUUGCGAUCUAUGCAGCAUUUCAGCAAUGGAGACAUCUUUUGAUAGGGGAGCGGCACAAGAUCCAGGUCCGAACUGACCACAAGAACUUGGAAUACUGGCGGACCGCGCAAGUGCUCAACCAGAGACAGAUCAGAUGGUCCCAGGAGUUCGCCAAGUUUUUCUUUGAGGUACAAUACGUGCCGGGAGGGGGAAAUGUGAGGGCGGAUGCACUCUCCAGGAAACCGGAAUACAUGGAAGGGGAGGGGCCACUGGAGACCAGGCACGUGUUCGCCGAGGAUCGGUGGGUGUGUGGGGGAGCGUUGGUAGGGAAACGAGAGCUAGCAGGGCUCACCAGAGAUGAUGAGUUUGCUCAGACUAAAAUCAGGGAGCUCAGAGACGGAAAGGAAGACAAUGGGGGGUUUGAGGAAAAGGAAGGGCUACUGUACUACAAGGGGGCGCUGUAUGUACCAGGAGAGACUUUGAGGAGGAAGAUACUUAGACAGCUCCAUGACAACCCAACAGCUGGGCACUUUGGACAGCACAAGACCAUGCUACUUGUCACCAGGCAGUUCUGGUGGCCAAAGGUGAGGGAAGACGUACAAGAAUAUGUACGAGGGUGUGACCAAUGCCAGAGGGCAAAGGGGGAAAGGACUGCCCCCGCAGGGUUACUGGAACCCUUACCUACACCGGAAAGGCCCUGGGAGGUGGUGUCCAUUGAUUUUAUGACAGAUCUGCCCAAGUCAAGGGGAAAGACAGCGGUCAUGGUAGUGGUCGAUCUACUGACUAAAAUGUGCCAUUUCGUAGCUUGCUCGCAUGCAGUGUCAGCAGAGGAGACAGCCAGGCUGUUUGUGGACCACAUUUUUAAACUGCAUGGCACCCCAUUGAGGGUAAUCUCAGAUCGCGGAAAACAAUUUACCUCCCAGUUCUGGCGGAGACUCAUGAGCUUGCUGCAGGUCGAGGUGAGCUUCUCGACGGCGAGGCACCCAGAAACCAACGGACAGGCCGAAAGACUGAACGGUAUACUCCAGCCGUACCUACGCUGCUAUGUCGGCGAGAGGCAGAAUGAUUCGGUAGAGAAAUUAGCUUUGGCUGAAUUUGCGUACAAUAACGCUGAACACGUGUCCACGGGAAUAAGCCCUUUCAUGGCCAAUUACGGGUGUCACCCCAGGGCCUUCCCGGGGCAGGGGGAGGAAGGAUGGAGAGUACCUGUGGCUGAGCAAUUUGCUGAGGAAAUGGAGGCCUUACACCAGCAACUCAGGCUGAACUUGGAGCGGGCCAAAGAAGUUUACAAGAGGCAGGCAGACAGGCACCGUUGGGAGGGGAGGCCAUACGGGUGGGGUUGUCAUCCCAAGGGUUGCCCCUAAAGGGAGGGUGCAAGAAGUUGCAGCCUAGGCGACUGGGGCCUUUUGAGGUAAUACAGCAGGUUAACCCAGUGGCAUUUAAACUCAGGUUGCCCGACAGCAUGAAGAUACAUCCGGUGUUCCAUAGGUUUCACAUUACAGGGAGGGGCGGGAAUUCCCGGGACGGGAGGGAGGGGUUACCACCCACCCGCGGGUAGAGGAGAGGGAACACUGUAACGAAGCUACGGAAAUAGUCGAUUCGAGGUGGCGAGGUCACCAGGUAGAGUACUUGGUAGCCUGGGAGGGAGAACCCAGUUCUGAAAACACUUGGGUCCCUGCUGAAUCAAUCACUGACGGGUAUCUGGUGGAAGAGUUUCAUGGUUUGUUUCCGGGUAAGCCCAAACCAUUAGCUAGAUUCUGGGAGGAAGAAUUUGGACCCACAGAUGAUGAAGGGGACUUUGUGGGUUUCCCUGCCUCCGAAGAGGAGGGAGGGGAGGUGUCCGAGGGAGAAGAAUCAGACUGGGAUGUUCAACCAGCUGGAAGAGAUCCGAGGGGGUGGGAGGCUGGUUUUGAAUCCUCAGAAGAUGAUGACAGUUCUUUCAGGGGAUUCCCCGCAUCGUCAGUCGAGAGAGAGGAGGAUGUAUCGGAAGAUCGCGCCAGGGGUGAGGGGGGUCCUGAGGAGGGGGUGGAUGUCAGGGAACUGCCAUCAGUGCCGGAGGGAGAGAGCAAAAGCCAGAGGGAUUCCAGAGAGUGUCCAGGGAUCGGGAGAAGCAGCCCAUCUUCUGGGGAAGAGAAUCAGCGUAGCACAAGUGGAGAAGGGGGGCAGAUGGGGGAAGCGGCGAGGCGGUCCCAUGACUCCUUGCCUGGGACCAGCGGGGAGAGUAGGGGUCCUCCGUUGCCCACGCCCUCCUUGCGCAGAAGGCUUUCGUGCAGAGAGGGUAGGAGGAGACUAGGCGUCAACGAGCUUCUUUGCUGGAAGAAGUUUAAGAAACGCCCACUCACGGAUUCUGCCAGCGACUGAGUCAGCCAUGGGCGAGUGGCGUCCGGACAGAUAAAGUUUACUUUGGCAGCCCAGCCAGGUGUUUGCACCCAGCCAGGGAGAUAGUUCCCUGCUUGCGCAUGAGCAACACCUUAGAAACCACAACAGAGCCUCUCCUUUCCAUCGGUGUUCCCCCCUCGCUCACUUUCUUCUGUAAAUGAGUCAUUUUAAUUAUGCACUCUCCAAAACCCUUCCUAAUCCUUCCCAAAUGACCAGCAAUAAGAAAACAGUUACACCAGCACGUAGAGAGAGGAAGGAUCCAACACCUCUCAAAACAGUGGAUAUAUUCUUCUUGACACUUUCGUAGCCACUGACUUCCGAUUCCAACAAUAUCCCAGACUUUAUAUAUUUAAAGUUUUAGAAUUAUAUAUUCCACUUAUAACUUAUAAUAUUCCACUUAUAACCCGCAAAACCAGAAUAGAAAAAAAAUAACCAAAGAGCAGAUCUUCUUGCCUCUUGGAUGGCUAAAGAGUCCAAAUUUUCGACAAUGUAGAAAUAAAAAAUAAAAAAUUAUCUUCUUGCCACCAAUUAGGCUACUCCACCGUUCCGACAGAUGUAUAAAAUAAAUUUAUUCCAUGAUCAAAUUGUAUUUUUAACUCCAAAUAUUAAGUUUUUAAAACCAACUACUGAGCCACAGGUAAAGGAGAUAUAUAUGUAUAUAAAAAAAUAUUAGCCAAAUUAUAUCAUGAAUAAAAGUAGUUAUGUCCAAAGAUCCGAGCCAGAUACUCCCCUAAAAAGCAGCCAAAUAUUUCCCAACCGCAACAAAGAAGCAGUGCUGUAAAGCUGUAAAACACUUCCUUCGCCUCCACAAAGAGCUUUGAACUGGAGGUGGGUGGGGUAGUCUUGCAGUUCUAUAACUUAAAUUCUCAGCAGCUUUCAAAUAGUACCUAUUCUGGUAAGAUCAUAAAACAAUAUAAAACAGCCAAAAUAUAUUUUGACAGAUUGUCCAAUCUUCCCUCAAUUGCUGCUAAAAAGGUUUUUUUCCCUUUCUUUAAAGCAAAAAAUGGAGACUCAAAAGUUCUAUUUUCGUUACGCAGUUUUUUUAAAAAGCGAAACUAAAAGGGGAGCCUUUCCAAUCCUUCCUUAAACUCCAGCCGUUCUUUCAAAGACCCUUCAAAAUUUGCAAGAUAGUAACCCUCUGCUUCCUCUUUUGUCCUUAGUUUAAUUGUUUCAGUUUAACUCCCUAGCAAGUUGUUUAGCAUGAGAAAGAUUAAAAAGCCGCUUGCGGUACUCACAAUCCACUCUCCACAGUUCCGCCAAUAUUCUUGCGUCUAAGUUCAAUUUCAGAUGAAGCUGACCUCCGCUUUUACUUCAUCUUAUCCAAAUCUUUUCUUCAUUUUAAAGCCAAUUUGUAUCCAUUUUAAGAUCGAAUUUCUUGCUGUUUGAGAAUCGGUCGCUCACCCUGCAAGCCUGGGGCUGCGCUUUCGGAGGAGAGAUAAUGGCUUCCCGUUGCCAGCUUCCUCACUCCGCCGUACUCCUCACUCCUUUUACAGAGCUACCUGACGGCCGGGUGGUCUGCAAUUUGGCUUCGCUGGGAAACCACAUUGUCAGGAAAGCGCUAUUUAAUGUUUGGCUAAGAUAUAAGGAUUUGUUAGAAAACAAAACCCCAAGGUGGCUGUCACCAAUGGAAGCGAAAGCCUUGAAAAAGGUCAAUAUGGAGGUCAAAUGGCCGAAAUAUUGGGAAAUUUUGGAACAAGAUGGAGAUAGAUUGAAAUUGCAGAGUUUUGAAAAACUAAAAAACAAAGUGCGAGACUGGCUUCAUUAUUAUCAGAUAAUGGAGGUAUUUAAAUUGGACAGGAAAAUUGGCUUCCAGGUGGAAAGAUCCAAAUUAGAAACAGAAUUGUUAGAACCCAAGACUAAGAAUUUGUCAAUAAUGUAUAACUUGCUGCUGAAAUGGAACACUCAGGAUGAAACGGUAAAAUCGGCUAUGAUUAAAUGGGCACAGGACGUUGGACAUAACAUUAUGUUUGCUGACUGGGAACAGUUAUGGACCACAGGUAUGAAAUUUACGGCAUGUAAUGCCUUAAGAGAGAAUAUUAUGAAAAUGAUAUACAGGUGGUACAUAACCCCAGUCAAGCUUGCGAAAAUCUAUCACUUGCCCGAUAACAAAUGUUGGAAAUGUAAAGAAACUGAAGGUACAUUUUUCACCUUUGGUGGACGUGCCCAAAGAUUAAGGCUUUCUGGGAAAUGAUAUAUAAUGAAUUAAAAAGGUAUUUAAGUAUACCUUCCCUAAGAAACCAGAGGCCUUUCUCCUGGGCAUAGUGGGCCAAAUGGUGUUAAAAAGGAUAGAACUUUCUUUAUGUAUGCAACAACAGCAGCAAGAAUACUCAUCGCAAAGUAUUGGAAGACACAAGAACUUCCCACGCUGGAGGAAUGGCAGAUGAAACUGAUGGACUAUAUGGAACUGGCGGAAAUGACUGGUAGAAUCCGUGACCAGGGAGAAGAGUUGAUGGAGGAAGAUUGGAAGAAAUUCAAAGACUACCUUCAGAAACACUGUAAAAUUAAGGAAUGUUAGAGUGAUGUUGGACUGAAAACAAGAGGUUUCCAGCUGUACAGGUUAAAGUUAAUGAUAGACUAAGAUUAAAGAUUAAGAUUAAAGAUGUUUAAAGAAAUGGAAAUUUGAUAUUAAGAGGGAAAAUUUUAAUGGUAUAUGAUAUUAAGACCAAGGAUUAGGUUUAAAGAAGUUGAAGUUAUAUAUUAUAAUAUUUUAUUAAAUUAAAGAUUGGGAUUAAAAAGUGGAAAAGAAACUGCUGGACAAAUAAAUUUGGAUGGGAAUGUUGGGUGUAGUGAAGGGUUAACCUUCUGUGUCUCGAGGCUGAGAGGAGGCGCUUACAAGGGAAGUAAGCCAGGACGUGACGAAAGCAGCUUGGAAUGCUGUGAGCUGAGUGAAAAGUGAAAGCAGCUUAGUUGCGCAGCUGCAACUGAGAGAGAAAGACACAGAAAUGCAGCUUGAAUCAGAUGGAUUGUAAAUAUGCUAUUUUUGAGCAAAUAAAGUGCUACUAGAAAAGAAGAAACGGGUGGGACUUCUUUCACUGCCUUUUCAACACGGACGCUGUGCAAUUCUGCUAAUUGCUUUACGACCUGCAGAGGAGUGCAGGGGAGCGUGCCGGACGCCAAGAAUAAAGCAAUAAAUCUACCUAACAUGGUUAUGGACAUGGUUAUGGGUCAACGUGAAGCGUGAGGAAGGGCUUUGAAGCUUUAUCUGCUGAUCGUCAGCUUGAUCGACUGCUGGAGACUUCAAGGGGCAGAUCGGAGGAGGCUGACAGGAGUGGGGGCCAAGAGCCAUGACGUCCAGACUUCCCAGUUUGGCUGAGUGAGAACCCUUUGGGAAAAGCCAACAGAAGGGGGCAAUGGCUCAGCCCUGUGAACAUGGCUUUGAGUUUAAACUGCCAUGUCAGAGACUGACUAGCCAAAAUUGGCUGCAGUGGAGCUUUCAAGUGGAGCUUUUGCUAGUUGGGGAGCAGCUGUGGAAUGUAAUACACCCCACACAGAAUGCAGCUGGGAAAGCAGAGGCUAACAGGGCUGCAGAGCAAAGUGAAGUGGAGAAGUGUGUGCUUGCUUUUUUGGCAGAAAGUGUGGAUGCUCAUCUGGUGCCUGUUGUCCUGGGUGCAAGAAGGCCAGAGGCCGCUUGGCUAGCACUCCAAGAAGCUUGUGGAGCUGGAGUGGGAAGCAAGGGCCGAGAAGGGGCUGCAUCCGAAAGGGAGAGGCAAGAUGGCGCCGGCCACAUUCUUGAGUGCCGAUGCACAGCUGGGAGGAGCUGUGAGCCCCCACAGGGGGGCGAAGGGACUGUUGCUGUUGUUGUUGCUAGCAAUGCUGCUUGUGCUUUUGCUGAGCCUGGGAGCUGUGUGGAUGCUGCAACGUGUCUGUGUGAGGAGCCUGAAGAGAGGCCAAGUGUUGGGAGCCCUUUAUCCAUCAGAGGGGGUGCAGAAAAACGUCCUCGAGACCCCGUGAGCAGUGGGGGGGCAGUGAGCAGUGAAAGCUCAGAGACGCCUCUUUCUCCAAAAGCUGCCAAGAGUUGUUUACGUCGUGAGUCGGAGCCUGGGAAGCUGAAAAGUGCUAGAGGCUUCAAGGUCAGCCACCUGCAGCAAGUAGAGAUAAGAGCUUCAGAGUUGUGUGGGAACGCCGAGACAAGUCCAGUCUCCAUGGCAACUGAGAGAGUUGCAUCUACGGAAGCUGUGAAGGUCGUGGGCAAGUCUUCCUGCCGGGGGGAGUCUGUUGCCGUGACAACCAGAGAGGACAUCUGCAGAAGCCCCAAGGAGGGGGGUAGUGAGGAGAUUGUUGCCCUGGCGACCCAGGAAUGUAAACAACAAGACUUUCUCACUAUAAUAAUAGACUCUGGUGCCUCAAAUUCGUUGGUGCCAUCUGCUGAUCUUUUGAGGAAUUGCAGGACAGUAAAAACUGAGAAGUUUGUUAAGUUUGCAGAUGGAAGCAGAAAAAAGGCUGACAGAAACAGGACUGUUCUUCUGUCCUUUCCUUAAGCAUGAAGUCAAAGCUUAUGCAGUGCCCGGUUUAACUAACUGUUUGUUAAGUGUGCAUGAUCUAUUGAUCGAUGGUUUUCAAAUUUCUUUUGCAGGUGACAAAUGUGAAUUUUCCAAGGAUGGGAAACACGUGUACACAGUGCAGUCUAAAGAUAAUUUGUUUGCUGUAAAUGUGCCUUUUUCCACAGGAGAGGAUGACACCGAAGAUGCGAAGGGCCAAUGUGUGAAUGUAGCACCCCACAAUGGUUGUUCACAUAUUUGGCACAGACGCUUCGCUCAUUUGAAUUGGAGAUAUCUCCAGAAAGCACCAGAGCUGACACAAGGGUGCAAAUUUAAUGUUUGUGACAAAUUUCUAGAUUGCAAUGCAUGUAAACAGGCGAAAGUUGUGACAUGCUCAUAUCCAAAGUCAGAGAGGCAGACCACACAACCCUUUGAAUUAAUUCAUGCAGAUUUGUGUGGACCCAUGUCUGUUGAGUCACUGGGAGGUUCAAAGUAUUCUUUGCUUUUGAUUGAUGAUUUUUCGAGGUCUGCUUGGACCUUCUCUCUGAAAACGAAAGGGGAGGCGGCUAAAAUGAUCAGGGAUUGGAUCACCGCAGUUGAGGUAACGUUUUCCACCAAAGUUUGUGGUUUUCAAAGUGACAGAGGUGCUGAAUUCACUGGUUCUGCUUUACAGGAUUUCUUUAGGGAGAAGGGGAUUAGCCACAGACUGACCGCUCCUUACUCUCCGCAACAGAAUGGGGUCGCAGAGAGAAAGAACAGGACGGUGCAGGAAGCUGUGUCUGCGAUCCUGUGGGACGCAGGGCUACCCCAGAAAUAUUGGUCGGAGGCUUGGCGAUAUGUGGUCCAUACCGAGAACAGAGUGUACAACUCUAGUGUAGGAAAUACACCGUAUUUCUUACUUCAUGAAGAGAAAUCCAAGGUACACUACCUUCGUGUGUUUGGUUGUGAGGCUUGGGUGCUUAUUCCAAAGGCUCUACGCAAGAAAGGUGAGCCAAGAUCUAGAAGAAUGAUCUUUGUAGGGUAUGAGCCUGGCUCAAAGGCCUGGCGGUUUGCGUACCCAAGUGGAGACCAGUCUAGGUUGGUUAUCAGCAAUAGCGCUGAGUUCUGUGAGCAAGCUGGUUGGAAACGUCUGCACGCCAAUCCAGACGUGCUUCCACAGCAGUUCUAUGACUCAGAUGUUGAGGAGGAAGAGGAACUUGUUGCUGGGGACCACGGUCCAGAGCAACAGAGUCCAAGGCAGGGACAGCUCAGGAUCCCUCAGAGGGGGGAACCUAGAACACCUCCUCAGGCAAGUGUCAAGUUUGAGCCAAAGAGUGAGCCUUCUUCACCUGCUGGACCAGCUGUAAGGCCCAAGAGGCGCAGCAGGUCAGAGGGGAAGACACUGAAGUUGAGGAUGAUUUAGCUGGACCCAGUGAAGCGGCAGGGUCACCAAGAGUCACACUGAGGAGAUCAGCGAGGACAAGGAGGCCUCCUGAUCGGUACGGCGCUUCAGGCGUCUGGGUAGGUUCUGCAAGAUGUGAACCUGAAUCCUUCGAGGAUAUUCAGAGUUUACCUGAGGAAGAAGCAGGCAAGUGGCACAGGGCAAUGGACAAAGAGAUGAAGUCCAUGAAAGGUCUAGGUGUCAAUGUUGAGCGUACACAGGAUGGAAGUUUUUUGCUCAGCCAGAGAGGUAAAAUCGAGCAAUUGCUUCAGAAAAUGAGGAUGAGUGAUUGUGCAGGAAUGAGAAGUCCUAUGGAGACUAGUUUUGUGAAGGACUGCCAGCAAGUAGAACGUGCUGCGUUCGAAAAUACUGAAGUGUUUCAAUCAGCUCUAGGGAGUUUGUUGUACUUGUCCCAGUGGAGCAGACCUGAUAUAGCGUUUGCUGUCAAUCUGCUCAGCAGGAAGGCAUCAAACCCUAGUGUGCAAGCCUGGAAUGGCAUCAAGAGAGUUCUGAGGUAUUUGCAGGAGACCAAAGACUUUUGUCUUAAGUUGCCAGCACAAGGAGAAGUGAAACUGACUUGCUUUGUGGACUCGGAUUGGGCUAAUCUUGAGGAUCGCAAGUCUGUGUCUGGCCUAGUGGUGAAGUUUGGGAACUCAGUAGUUGGAUGGAGGUCCAAGAAGCAAAGUCUUAUAGCGCUCUCAUCCACUGAGGCUGAGUUUAGUGCUCUUUCAGAGAUGUGCAGAGAAGUAGAGUUCUAUGCUUGUUUGGUGCAGGAACUCUGCGAAGUGGAUUGUCUGCCGAUACGUGUUUUCGAGGACAAUCAACCAUGCCUGCGUUUGGCAGAGUCAGGUCAGUUCAAGGCCAGAACGAAACACCUAGACAUUCGCUUUCGGAAUGUGUGCCAGAGUGUUCAGGAGGGAUUAGUUGCGCUGAAGUAUUGUCCCUCUGCCAAGAACCUAGCUGAUGGGUUCACGAAGCCACUCACCUUCCAAAGACAUGGGAAGUUUUGUGAAGGUCUGGGUUUGGGACGACCAAGGGUCGAUUCUCCCCUCAGGCGCGAGACAAGAGGGGGUGUUGGGUGUAGUGAAGGGUUAACCUUCUGUGUCUCGAGGCUGAGAGGAGGCGCUUACAAGGGAAGUAAGCCAGGACGUGACGAAAGCAGCUUGGAAUGCUGUGAGCUGAGUGGAAAGUGAAAGCAGCUUUGUUACGCAGCUGCAAGCUGAGAGAGAGACGCAGAGUAAGAUGCAGCUUCAAUCAGAUGGUGUUUCCUGAUUGUAAAUAUGCUAUUUUUGAGCAAAUAAAGUGCUACUAGAAAAGAAGAAACGUGUGGGACUUCUUUCACUGCCUUUUCAACACAGACGCUGUGCAAUUCUGCUAAUUGCUUUACGACCUGCAGAGGCCCGCAGGGGGAAGUGUGCUGGACACCAAGAGUAAAGCAAUAAAUCUUACCUAACAUGGUUAUGGACAUGGUUAUGGGUCAACGUGAAGCGUGAGGAAGGGCUUUGAAGCUUUAUCUGCUGAUCGUCAGCUUGAUCGACUGCCGGAGACUUCAAGGGGCAGAUCGGAGGAGGCUGACAGGAGUGGGAGCCAAGAGUCAUAGAGUCUGACAGCACCAAGCUGUUUAAGCUUGAAUCGUUUACCUAGCUCUUUGGCAAACUUCUCCGCCUGUUCAUCUGUUUCUGAGAAGAAAAGCACGUCAUCAACAAAAAUCAUCACCGGUUCCUGUGAGUCUCCUGAUCCUCUCAAAUAAAAGCAACUAUCAGCAACACUUCUCCUGAAACCUAGCUUCUCCAAAGCUUCAUUCAGGCACAUGUUCCAGUUUCUAGCAGAUUGACGUAAUCCAUAGAUGGAUUUGUGCAAUCUCCACACAACAUCCUGCCUUGAGUUCUCAAACCCCGGAGGAGGAAUCAUGUACAGCUCCUCCUGGAGAUCUUAGUUAAGGUAGGCAACAUCCACAUCAAAGUGGUUUACUUUCCAGCCUCUUUGUGCUGCACAAGCUAAAAGCGUUCUCAGAGUCUCCGCUCGUGACGUUGGCGAAUACACCUCCGUGAAGUGUAUUCCCUUCCUCUGAGUAAAUCCUCGAGCAACUAACCUGGCUUUAUACUGCGGCUCUCCAGCGUCAGUGGGUUUCAAGCGGUAAACCCACCUGGAACUCACAGCCUGCUUGCCCGGUGGCAACUCUGUGAGUGAGAACACACCUAGAUCUUUCAUGGACUUCAUCUCUUUGUCCAUUGCUCUGUGCCACUUGCCUGCUUCUUCCUCAGGUAAACUCUGAAUAUCCUCGAAGGAUUCAGGUUCACAUCUUGCAGAACCUACCCAGACGCCUGAAGCGUCGUACCGAUCAGGAGGCCUCCUUGUCCUCGCUGAUCUCCUCAGUGUGACUCCUGGUGACCCUGCCGCUUCACUGGGUCCAGCUAAAUCAUCCUCAACUUCAGUGUCUUCCCCUCUGACCUGCUGCGCCUCUUGGGCCUUACAGCUGGUCCAGCAGGUGAAGAAGGCUCACUCUUUGGCUCAAACUUGACACUUGCCUGAGGAGGUGUUCUAGGUUCCCCCCUUUGAGGGAUCCUGAGCUGUCCCUGCCUUGGACUCUGUUGCUCUGGACCGUGGUCCCCAGCAACAAGUUCCUCUUCCUCCUCGUCUGAGUCAUAGAACUGCUGUGGAAGCACGUCUGGAUUGGCGUGCAGACGUUUCCAACCAGCUUGCUCACAGAACUCAGCGCUAUUGCUGAUAACCAACCUAGACUGGUCUCCACUUGGGUACGCAAACCGCCAGGCCUUUGAGCCAGGCUCAUACCCUACAAAGAUCAUCCUUUUAGAUCUUGGCUCACCUUUCUUGCGUAGAGCCUUUGGAAUAAGUACCCAAGCCUCACAACCAAACACACGAAGGUAGUGUACCUUAGGCUUCUCUCCAUGAAGUAAGAAAUACGGUGUAUUUCCUACACUAGAGUUGCACACUCUGUUCUCGGUAUGGACCACAUAACGCCAAGCCUCCGACCAAUAUUUCUGGGGUAGCCCUGCGUCCCACAGGAUCGCAGACACAGCUUCCUGCACCGUCCUGUUCUUUCUCUCUGCCAGCCCAUUCUGUUGCGGAGAGUAAGGAGCGGUCAGUCUGUGGCUAAUCCCCUUCUCCCUAAAGAAAUCCUGUAAAGCAGAACCAGUGAAUUCAGCACCUCUGUCACUUUGAAAACCACAAACUUUGGUGGAAAAAGUUAUCUCAACUGCGGUGAUCCAAUCCCUGAUCAUUUUAGCCGCCUCCCCUUUCGUUUUCAGAGAGAAGGUCCAAGCAGACCUCGAAAAAUCAUCAAUCAAAAGCAAAGAAUACUUUGAACCUCCCAGUGACUCAACAGACAUGGGUCCACACAAAUCUGCAUGAAUUAAUUCAAAGGGUUGUGUGGUCUGCCUCUCUGACUUUGGAUAUGAGCAUGUCACAACUUUCGCCUGUUUACAUGCAUUGCAAUCUAGAAAUUUGUCACAAACAUUAAAUUUGCACCCUUGUGUCAGCUCUGGCGCUUUCUGGAGAUAUUUCCAAUUCAAAUGAGCGAAGCGUCUGUGCCAAAUAUGUGAACAACCAUUGUGGGGCGCUACAUUCACACCUUGGCCCUUCGCAUCUUCGGUGUCAUCUUCUCCUGUGGAAAAGGCACAUUUACAGCAAACAAAUUAUCUUUAGACUGCACUGUGUACACGUGUUUCCCAUCCUUGGAAAAUUCACAUUUGUCACCUGCAAAAGAAAUUUGAAAAUCAUCGAUCAAUAGAUCAUGCACACUUAACAAACAGUUAGUUAAACCGGGCACUGCAUAAGCUUUGACUUCAUGCUUAAGAAAAGGACAGAAGAACAGUCCUGUCUCUGUCAGCUUUUUUCUGCUUCCAUCUGCAAACUUAACAAACUUCUCAGUUUUUACUGUCCUGCAAUUCCUCAAAAGAUCAGCAGAUGGCACCAACGAAUUUGAGGCACCAGAGUCUAUUAUUACAGUGAGAAAGUCUUGUUGUUUACAUUCCUGGGUCGCCAGGGCAACAAAAGAGGGAGGUAUGAGGAAGUCCAGAAAAUAAGCAACUAAAAAACGGAAAUGAAACAGAGAUAUUGUUUUUAAAUUGUUAUGUUUCUUGUAUUUUUAUUGUUGAACUUUGCUUUUGUUUUUGUUUUUUGUGUUUUUAUUACAUGUAUUGUGUAUGUUUUUCAUUUAUUUCUGUGUUGUUUAAAACUUUAAUAAAAAUUAUCUAAAAAAAAACAAAACAAUUUGGCUUCGCUGGGAACCUGACCCUCUGAUUUCCCUCCAGAGGGGUUUUGAGGGGCUACGGCGCCCUGUAGCACCCCCUUUUUCCUCUCGAAAGCUCAGAAUUUCCCUCCUGGAAAAUUCCCGCUUGCGCUGGGCUCGCAACUCGACCGGAUUUUUUUACUCUCAGCUGGAUACCAUCCUACCAAAGAUGCCUAAGCAGGGUAAAAUUAUCCUCCUGGGUGAUUUUAAUGCAAGAAUUAGGCAAGAUUUCGAUCUGUGGCCUGGGACUAUUGGGAAAGAAGAAAUUGGCAACAGCAACCAGAACGGAAUCUUACCUUUGACUAUAUGUGCAGCGCACAACCUUCUUAUAACCAACACACACUUUCAACAAAAAAAUAAAUUUAAAACAUCUUGAAGGCACCCUCUGUCAAACCACUGGAACCUCUUAAACUAUGUAAUUGUCUGAGCAGAAGAUCGCUGUGAUGUGCUCCUUACCAAAGCUAUGACGAGUGCCAACAACUGCUGGACAGAUGUCAGAGGCACUUAAAACACACAAGUCCAGCUAAUUAAAAAGGAAGGUUUAUUGACAAGAAUAAACAGAAAGUCCAGCAGCUCGCUCCCGAGCAGCCUCCAUCACAGCCUACGAUGACUCACCUGGGGCCUGGUUUCCCUUUCUCUUCCUACGGAAAAAACAAUGGAAAUACGUCCUCUUCCUAACCCACCUCUCUGGCAAAGUCUGUAGCUUAUUGGUUCAGGCACUCUCUCUGACAGGCUGUCACUGUCUGUGUUUUCUCUCACUCUGUCACUUGAAUCUUCACCUAAUUCCUGGCUGCUUGUUUUCCUAGCAACCUGCAUACCAUUAUCUUCCUCCCCCCUGUCUCCAACUUCUGCUGUAAUUUGCUCUUCGGACAGUGGCAGAUUAUGAGAUGUAGGUUCUUCAAUCCUGACAACAGAUCACCAAUUAAUACACUCCACAAUGGCUAUCAAUAUUAUACCUCAACGCAGGCUUCAGGGAAGGAAGUAAAGGUAAAGGGACCCCUGACCGUUAGGUCCAGUCGUGACCGACUCUGGGGUUGCGGCGCUCAUCUCACUUUAUCGGCCGAGGGAGCUGGCGUACAGCUUCCGGGUCAUGUGGCCAUCAUGAUUAAGCCACUUCUGGUGAACCAGAGCAGCGCACGGAAACACUGUUUACCUUCCCACCAGAGCGGUACCUAUUUAUCUACUUGCACUUUGACGUGCUUUUGAACUGCUAGGUGGGCAGGAGCUGGGACCGAGCAACGGGAGCUCACCCUGUCGUGGGGAUUUGAACCACCGACCUUCUGAUCGGCAAGUCCUAGGCUCUGUGGUUUAACCCACAGCGCCACCCACGUCCCUCAGGGAAGGAAACCAAGGUGCAAAAUGAACACUCAAGCCCUUCAAGACCCUAUUAAGCGGGACUGUUAAGGACCAUCUGCUUUCGGAAUUCCCUGAUAACAUUGAGGAUCAAGCUAAAAACACUGGACCAAGCUAAAAACAUCCAUUACUGCAGCCUAUGAACAAACGAUUGGAUACUAAACCAAGAAACACCAGUACUGGUUUGAUGAGAAUGAAAGAGAGAUUGGAUGCAUUUGUAAUGGUAUCAGGGGGUUGCUCGAGAGCAAUCAGGCAAAUUCCUCCCUGGUGUCAGUAUAUGGAAACAUCACCGCUGCAGACAGCCAGAUUGUUGACAUCACAUGAUGUGCCUAUCUGUGGGAAAGAAGAAUUUCCCAGAACGUUCACAGGCUGGAUAAGUCUUUGUGAAGAGUGUAAUUUGAAACCUUCUGUGUGCGCAUGUUCAGGAAGUUUGUCAAACGUGCUGGAAGAACUGAACUGAAAGGACGUGUUUUUCUGUAGUUCUGUAAUGUCAGAAAUAAACAUCAUGUAAAUAGAUUUCUCACUUAUUUUCUUUCCCCUGCGGAAGCAGGAAGGAGGGGAUUGUGCAUUUUACCCACGCUUGGGAAAAUGUCGCCUAUUAAAAUCUCCCUGGUCUGUCUGGGAGGACAGUAAGAGGGGCCAGCCUCUGUGGAGGGGGCUUGCAAACCGACAAGUGGUAGCAGAGGAUGGUUGCAACAACAAGACGGCUGAGCACCAGGUGGGAGACGUUUUUUGCUGAUAAGCAGCGAUCCACGGACCUCUGCGAUGCUGAUUUAUGGUUGGAUGGUGAACGUGAAUUGAAAAGUCUUCGGUUCCCUGAGAAAAAAAGCUCCUGUUUUGGAUAAAACAGAGCGGAGAGAAGCCAAAUACUUCGCAUUCCAGAGCUGAUAAGAAGUUCCGUUGCUAAGCGACAGGUCGUGAGUACUUUUUGAGCUAAAUUUAUGAGCUGGUUAGCUUAAAGAGCAAAGAGAGAAAAGAAGCUUCAGAAACGAAAGCAAGGCUGGGUGUUUUUCAGCGACACUUGUUGUAAACAAACUGUUGGAAAAGGGACUUUCCAAGCUGAUAGCUGUUGGAUUGCAGCGAAGGCUUAUUGUUUACAGACUCUGUGAAAGGGAAAAUUCUAGGCAGCUGGGCUGACUGCCAGGUGCAAGCAGCUUGUAAACAGCCCAAUAGACUUUUGGGUUUUCCAGCUUGUAGCUGAAGCUGCAGCUUGGGCUUAAAAGAUAGCUCUGUUCUCUCAGAAACUAAAUAGCCAAAACUGCCUAGAAUGGUCUUUUGCAAUGGAAUUCUUGCUGGUGGGAGAGCAAUUAUGGGACUUAAUACAAACCCCACAGCCUGUUGCUGUACAAGCACAGGGGGAGAAGGCUGCAAUUCAAAGUGAAUUGAAGCAGCGUGUCAUAAGAAUUUUGGCGGAAAAUGUGGACGCUUAUCUUGAGCCAGUCCUAAAAGGUGCACAAGAACCAAGGGUCGCUUGGGAGUCACUCCACAAAGCUUGUGAAGCUGGGGUGGGAAGCAAGGACCGAGAAUUGGUUGCACCAAAAGGGGAGAGCCAAGAUUAAGCUAGCCAAAUUCUUGAGAGCUCAUCGAAAGCUGGUAGGAGCUUUGAGCCACAACAGGGAAGUGGAGAGACUGUUGCUGCUGUUGCUGUUGAGGAUCCUAGCACUGCUGCAAUAGCUGUUGCUGAUGGGGGGAGUGAAGCUCGGAAAUCAAGCACCCCCACUACUAUUGCUACAGAGGAGAAAGCUGUAGCUCAGAACACUGUUCGUCAGGAGACACCACAUCAGGAAAAAGGAGCUAGAGGGAGCUCUGUAAAGCCUGAGGCCUCAAACAAAGGUCAUACCCAGUCCCAGGCAAAGCCAGAUAUGGCUUUGAUGUCCCUAAAAGCCACAUCAUCCGUAGAAAACGCAUUUGUUAUUGAUGCAGGAGCGAUGCAACACAUGGCAUCACGCCGGGAACUGUUUUCUACAUUUGAGAAGCAACGCUUCACUGUGAAACUGGCCAAUGGUCAGGAAAUGGAAGCAACCGGGAUCGGAACUGUGUAUCUAGAAAGCCUGAACUUGACUAUAAACAAUGUUUAUUUUGUUCCAGGUUUAAAGUACAAUCUGUUGAGUGUAUCUCAAAUCACUAAGAAGAAACUGGUGUUAUCCUAUGAUGAGGAAAGUUGCAAAAUCUACAAAGAUGGAGAGCUGUAUCUUUCUGCCAGAGAGAAAGAGGGACUAUAUCUGUUAACUUUUGACGAAAGUGAUUAUAAAAUGUGUACAGCAUGUGAAUCUAAAAUGCUUUCUCUUGCAGGUAUCUCGAAAGAAGACACGAGAGGAAAGGCAACAAAGAUUAACAGUGUUUUUCAGCGAGUGUAUGCUGAUGUGAUUGGUCCUUUAGCACCAUCUAGAGGCAAUGCAAAAUACUAUCUUGUAUUUGUUGAUCAUUUUUCUCAAUAUGUAUGGAUUUACAUGUUGCAGAGUCCCAGAGAAACCUUAGAAAGGUUUAAGGAGUUUUGUGAUAAGGUUAAGAAUGUUCAUGAUGCUAAAAUUGAUUUUCUUUUCACAGUCUAAGUCAGAGACAAAGACACAACAGGGAGUUGCUAAGCAUAACACAACGUUCCCUAGCCAAGGUAAUGCAGAAGCACUUGUUCCUUGGAAAACAGACAACCAGAGAGUUACAUUGGUGAAACCAGUGGCGGGUAGUUCCAAAGGUGGAACUGAAACAACAGGGGAUUGUUUCAUGUAUAACAACUGUUUGUUUUCUUCUCUGGAUCAAGCUUUGUCUGCAGCUAACGAUGAUUCAUAUGGGGGAGGAUGUCAGUAUAUGGAAACAUCACCGCUGCAGACAGCCAGAUUGUUGACAUCACAUGAUGUGCCUAUCUGUGGGAAAGAAGAAUUUCCCAGGACGUUCACAGGCUGGAUAAGUCUUUGUGAAGAGUGUAAUUUGAAACCUUCUGUUCAGGAAGUUUGUCAGACGUGCUGGAAGAACUGAACUGAAAGGACGUGUUUUUCUGUAGUUCUGUAAUGUCAGAAAUAAACAUCAUGUAAAUAGAUUUCUGACUUAUUUUCUUUCCCCUGCGGAAGCAGGAAGGAGGGUUGUGCAUUUUACCCACGCUUGGGAAAAUGUCGCCUAUCAAAAUCUCCCUGGUCUGUCUGGAUAUCAACCAGAGGAGGUUACCGGUAUGCAAGCUCCGAGGACAGUAAGAGGGGCCAGCCUCUGUGGAGGGGGCUUGCAAACCGACACCUGGUCGGCUGUAAAGCCUUGUUAUUGGUGCCAAAAAAACCUUCACCAUGCAGAGCGCCACUCUUCUGUGGCUUGCUCAUUCACUGGCAGAAUCUGAGAGUGGGCAGUCCUUAAACCUUCCCCAGCAGAGUAGUUUCUUGACGCCCUAUGAAACACCGGAUGUAUCCUCAUGCUGUCCGGCAAUUUCAGUCUGAAGGUCACUGGGUUAACCUGCUGUAUUACCUCAAAGGGCCCCAGCCAUCUAGGCUGCAAUUUUUUGCAACCUCCCUUUAAGGGCAAACCCUGGGGCGACAAUCACACCCUGUCCCCCAACCAUAUGACCUCCCCUGGCCUGCGGUGCCUGUCUGCCUGCCUUUUGUAGACUUCUUUAGCCCUUUCCAAAUUUAGCCGGAGUUGUUGGUGCAAAGCCUCCAUCUCUUCUGCAAAUUGCUCUGCCUCUGGCACACUCCAUUCCUCCUCUCCGUGCCCUGGGAAGGCCCUGGGGUGGCACCCGUAGUUGGCCAUGAAGGGGCUCAUCCCCGUGGACACAAGUUCAGCAUUAUUAUAUGCAAACUCAGCUAGCGCCAAUUUCUCUACCCAGUCGUUCUGCCUCUCACUGACAUAGCAGCGUAGGUACUGCUGCAAUAUUCCAUUCGCUCUUUCGGCCUGGCGAUUGGUUUCUGGGUGCCUUGCCGUCGAGAAGCUCACCUCUACCUGCAGCAAGCUCAUGAGUUUCCGCCAGAACCGCGAGGUAAAUUGUCUUCCUCAAUCGGAUACAACCCUCAGUGGCGUCCCAUGCAGCCUAAAAAUGUGGUCCACAAACAGCCUGGCUGUCUCCUCUGCUGACACCGCAUGAGAGCAGGCCACAAAAUGACACAUUUUGGUCAGUAGAUUGACCACCAACAUCACCACCGCUGUUUUUCCCCUUUACUUGGGCAGAUCUGUCAUAAAACCAAUGGACACCACCUCCCAGGGCCUCUCCGGUGUCAGUAAGGGUUCCAGUAACCCCGCUGGUGCGGUUCUUUCCCCUUUGGCCCUCUGGCACCUGUCGCACCCCCGGACAUAUUCUCGUACACCCUCCCUUACCUUGGGCCACCAGAACUGUCUGGUGACUAGUAGCAUGGUCUUAUGCUGCCCAAAAUGCCCGGCUGUGGGGUUGUCAUGGAGCUGCCUAAGUAUUUUGGCCGUCAAUGUCUCUCCCGGAGCAUACAGUGCCCCUUUAUAGUACAAGAGCCCUCCUUUUUCCUCAAACCCCCCAUUUUUCCCCUUUCCAUCUCUGAGCUCCCUGAUUUUAGUCUGAGCAAACUCAUCUUGUCUGGUGAGCCCAACCAGUUCUUGCUCCCCUACCAGUGCUCCCCCACACGACCAUCGGUCUUCUGGGAACAUGUGCCUGGCCAUAGGAGGUCCUUCCCCUUCCAUGUACUCAGGUUUUCUGGAAAGUGCAUCCGCCCUCACAUUCCCCCCCCCCGCCCAGGAACGUAUUGUAUCUCGAAGUGAUACUGUGAGAACAUCUGCGACCAUCGGACCUGUCUCUGGUUGAGCACGCACGCUGUCCGCCAGUAUUCCAGGUUCUUGUGGUCCGUUCGGACCUGGAUCUGGUGCUGCGCCCCAAUCAAAAAGUGUCUCCACUGCUGAAAGGCCAGCAGUUCUUUGUCAUAAACAGUGUAUUUUUGCUCUGACUUGCUCAGUUUCCUGGAGAAAAACGCACAAGGUCUCCAGUCCUUCCCUGACCCUUGUUGCAACAGUACUGCUCCAAUGGCCUGGUCUGAAGCGUCCGUCUCCACCCUAAGUGGCUUCCCCGGAUCCAUGUGCAGGAGCUGCUCCUCAGAGGCGAAAGCCUUCUUUAACCUUUCAAAGGACUGCUGCGCUUCCUUGGUCCACACAAACUUCUUCUUGCCGCUGAGACAAUCCAUUAUGGGUGCUGUCAAGUGAGCACAGUUCUUGAUGAACUUCCUGUAGAAGUUGCUGAACCCUAGGAACCUCUGCACAUACUUCUUUGUUUUGGGGCUCUUCCAUUCCAGCACUGCUUUCACCUUCUCUGGGUCCAUGGCCAGCCCCUUGUCCGACAGUCGGUACCCAAGGAACUCCACCUCUCGAGCAUGGAAUUGGCAUUUCUCCAGUUUGACCCACAACUGAUGCUUCUUCAAUCUCUCUAACACCUGCCUGAUGUCUUUCACGUGCUGUGCUUCAUUUUCAGAGAAGAUUAAAACGUCAUCCAAAAAAGCCACACAAUUCUUGUACAGCAGGGGGCCCAACACGUGGUGCAUAAAGGCUUGAAAGCAGGCGGAUCCCGAUUGCAAUCCAAACGGCAUGACGAGAUGCUCAAAAGCCCCCCGGGGGGGUGAACGUGGUCGUCUUCCAUUCGUCCCUCUCUCUCACUCUGAUCAGAUUGUACGCUCCUCUUAGGUCCAGUUUGGUAAAAAAUUUCCCCUGCCUCACACGCGUCAAAACAUCGUCAAUUCUGGGCAUGGGGAAGGCUACGAGUUCAGUUACCUUGUUCAAGAAGCGGUAGUCCACUACAAGCCUAUGCAGAUUCAUCGUUUUCUUGUCCACAAAGAACACUGGGCUCCCCCCUACGGCCUUUGAUUCCCUUAUGAAACCCCUCUUCAAUUUCUUGUCAGUAAACUGCCUCAACUCUUGCAUCUCCUGGUCGGACAUGGAAUACAGCUUGGCCCCCGGAAGCAGGUUGAUUUGGCAGUCAUAGGGUCUGUGGGGGGGGGCAGCUUGUCAGCCUCUCUCUCACUGAACACCUCCUUCAAAUCUGCAUAUUCAUAGAAUAGAAUAGAAUAGAAUCAUGGAAUAGAAUCAUAGAGUUGAAAGAGACCACAAGGGCCAUCGAGUCCAACCCCCUGCCAAGCAGGAAACACCAUCAGAGCACUCCUGACAUAUGGUUGUCAAGCCUCUGCUUAAAGACCUCCAAAGAAGGAGACUCCACCACACUCCUUGGCAGCAAAUUCCACUGUCGAACAGCUCUUACUGUCAGGAAGUUCUUCCUAAUGAUUUCCAUGGUCAAAGGCCAUGGAAACGAUGCCUUAUGAGGAAAUCUUUAUGAGGCCUGGAAGAAUUUAAGAUUGAGAAAGGAACACGACAAGGUUGCCCAAUUUCCCCAUUGCUUUUUAUAUCGGUCCUGGAGGUUCUUUUAAAUAUGAUUAGAAGGGACCAAUUGGUUAAGGGUAUACAAGUCGGAGCUAAACAGUAUAAAUUGAAAGCAUUUGCAGAUGACUUAGUAUUGACAUUACAGGAACCAGAAUCUAGUACUAAAAGAGUAAUAGAACUGAUUCAAGAAUUUGGUCAGGUUGCAGGAUUUAAGUUGAAUAAGUUAAAAACUAAGGUUUUAGAGAAAAAUUUAACAGCGAUUGAGAGAGAGAGGUUUCAGAAGAAGACAGGAUUAACACUGGUUAAGAAAGUGAAAUAUUUAGGGGUUAACAUGACUGCUAAAAAUGUGAAUUUAUUUAAGGAUAACUAUGAAAAAUGUUGGACUGAAGUGAAAAAAGACUUAGAAAUAUGGUCAAAUUUGAAGCUUUCACUGCUAGGCCGUAUCGCUGCGAUAAAGAUGAAUGUAUUGCCAAGAAUGUUGUUUUUGUUUCAAACACUGCAAAUUUUGGACAAAAUGGACUGUUUCAAGAAGUGGCAGAGAGAUAUUUCCAGAUUUGUCUGUCAAGGCAAGAAGCCCAGAAUAAAAUUCAAAAUACUAACGGAUGCAAAAGAAAGAGGUGGAUUUGCCCUGCCAGACCUUAAACUUUACUAUGAAUCAGCCGCAUUUUGCUGGCUGAGAGAAUGGCUGCUUCUUGAAAACACAGACAUUUUGGAUUUAGAAGGUUUUAACAAUGUAUUUGGGUGGCAUGCAUAUUUGUGGUAUGAUAAGGUCAAAGCACAUAAAGCAUUUAAAAACCAUAUUGUCAGGAAAGCAUUGUUUAAUGUCUGGACAAGAUAUAAGGACCUACUUGAAAAUAAAACCCCAAGGUGGUUGUCACCGAUGGAAGCGAAGGCUCAGAAAAAGCUCAAUAUGGAGGCCAAAUGGCCGAAAUAUUGGGAAAUUCUGGAACAAGAGGGAGAUAAAUUGAAAUUGCAGAGCUUUGAAAAACUAAAAAAUAAAGUGUGAGAUUGGCUUCAUUAUUAUCAAAUAAUGGAGGCAUACAAUUUGGACAAGAAAAUUGGCUUCCAGGUGGAAAAAUCAAAACUGGAAACAGAACUGUUAGAUCCUAAAGUUAAGAAUUUGUCAAGAAUGUAUAACUUGCUGUUGAAAUGGAAUACUCAAGAUGAAACAGUGAAAUCUGUUAUGAUUAAGUGGGCACAAGAUGUUGGACAUAACAUUAUGAUGGCUGACUGGGAACAGUUAUGGACCACAGGUAUGAAGUUCACGGCAUGUAAUGCCUUAAGAGAGAAUAUUAUGAAAAUGAUAUACAGGUGGUACAUGACCCUAGUCAAGCUUGCAAAAAUCUAUCACUUGCCCGAUAAUAAAUGUUGGAAAUGUAAAGAAACUGAAGGUACAUUCUUUCACCUUUGGUGGACGUGCCCAAGGAUUAAGGCUUUCUGGGAGAUGAUCUAUAAUGAAAUGAAAAAGGUAUUCAAAUAUACCUUCCUGAAGAAACCAGAGGCCUUUCUCCUGGGCAUAGUCGGCCAAUUGGUGCCAAAGAAGGAUAGAAUUUUCUUUAUGUAUGCCACAACAGCAGCAAGAAUUCUUAUUGCAAAGUACUGGAAGACACAAGAUCUACCCACCCUGGAAGAAUGGCAGAUGAAGGUGAUGGACUAUAUGGAACUGGCGGAAAUGACUGGCAGAAUCCGAGACCAGGGAGAAGAGUCGGUGGAAGAAGAUUGGAAGCAGUUUAAAGACUAUCUACAGAAAUACUGUAAAAUUAAUGAAUGUUAGAAUGAUGUUGGAAUGAAGCUAAGGGGUUUUUAGUAGCAAUGUUACAAGGAGUAUGUAAAAAUGGACUGCUAACAGAUGAGAAUAUACAGUUAUUACAUAUUAAGACAAAGGACUAAGAUAAAAACAAAGAGGGAAAGGAUUUGCUGAAUUAACUUACUGAACUGGAAUACAAAAAGGGGAGGUGUGAGGAGGUCAGGGAAACAAGUGAAUGAAAGACAAGAUAUGGAAAGAUUGAUUUGUUUUUAAUUGUUUUUACUUUUUUGUAUUUUGUAUUCUCUUCUUUCUUUUUUAUUCUUUUCUUUCUUUCUUUUUUUCUUUUUCUUAUUAUUAUUAUUGUAACUUCUUUUUUAUUUUUGAAACUUUAAUAAAUAUCUUAUAACAAAAAAAAGGAAAUGAUGCCUUAUGAGGAACAGCUAAGGGAGCUGGGCAUGUUUAGCCUGGAGAAGAGGAGGUUAAGGGGUGAUAUGAUAGCCAUGUUCAAAUCUAUAAAAGGAUGUCACAUAGAGGAGGGAGAAAGGUUGUUUUCUGCUGCUCCAGAGAAGCGGACACGGAGCAAUGGCUCCAAACUACAAGAAAGAAGAUUCCAUAGAAUCAUAGAAUCAUAGAAUUUGAAGUUCUUUCAAAGCAUACAGUUCUCACUGGGUCCCCAGUGAGGCACAAAACUUAGCUCCUGAGAGAAGUGGCACGCACCCCUUCUCCUCCAGAGUCACCCCCGCAACCCUGGCCAUAGUCAUUCUUGGUUCUUUCCCCCCCAGGCAGUGUUCCAAGCAGUGUGCCGACCCAAAGGUGAGGGAACGCUGAUGCCACGACACCACUGGGUCAUGGAGUGCCAACCAACUCAUUCCCAGUAUAAUGGGGGGUCCCGCCAGUGUGGCCACGUGAAAGGCAAUGGUUUCCGCGUGCCUAGAAACCCUCAUCCUCAUCGGGGGUGUCUGGUGUGUCACUCCUCCCCCCCAGUAGCUCCCUGCCAUCAAUGGUGGUCACUUGCAAGGGGAAAUCUAGUGGCAACAGGUGUAGUUGGUGCUCCAGAGCGAAGUCUCUGCUGAAAAUAUUGCAAGAAGACCCCGAAUCCAGAAGAGCGUUCACUUCUACUGGGUGCCCAUUAGGGAGUUCUAACACCACUUCAACUGCUAUGGCUGCCUUGGGAGGGUCUGGUUGGCGCUCUUCUACUGGUCGCCUGCCUGGCUGCUGCCCCUGUUGGUCUGCAGCCAGGCUUUUUCGUUUCCUUGCACCUGAGCCUUCUCUCCCUCCUCUUUGCCUGCUGCCCCCACCAUCCCUUGCCAGGCUUUUUUCUGGGGACAGACCUUCGCGAAAUGUCCAGGGCGCUGACAGAUGAAACACUUUUUGGCUGUUUUCCAGUCCCUCCCCUCUUUUUUCCUGAGCUCACUGGUGUUUGAAACCUCACGCGCGCGGGCUCCAUCAAUUUCCAUUGGCUCUGCUGCCGCAGACCGUGGGAAGUCCCUGCAGGCAUCUCAGAAAUGCGGUUGCCUUGGAAACGCUCCCCUCUGGCCUCCCGCCUUUCCUGAGCCCGCGCUUCCUGCCGUAUUCCAAUCGCUAAUGCUGUUUUAGUUAGCUCAUCCGUGGACCGUGGGCGGGGGGCUCUGGAUAAUUCAUCCUUUACUUCAGGAUUCAAACCUGCCUCAAACAGAGCUCGCAGGGGUUAAGAGUGUAGGUCCCAGCCUAGCUUGUGCACUAACAUCGCAAAACGCGAUCAGUAGCUCUUGACGGUCAGAGACCCCUGUUUGCAACUCAGCAGCUCCCUUUGCGUCACACUUCCUUCCGCCUCGCUGGAGAACAUAGCGCCCAUCGCCUGAUAAAAUUUCUUCAGGUCUUUCAAAGCAUCGCUCCCUGCUGCUAUGAGCAGCCUAAUCCAUUCUCUAGCCCCGCCCUCAAGGUGUUCGAUUAUGAAAUCAACUUUCUCUUUGUCGCUAGCAAAUUCCCCUUCUUGUAAUUCCAAAGCUUAUUGUACCUCUGUCCGGAACGCGUUGUAAUCUUGGGGCUUCCCUCCAAACUUAUUCACUAGCCCUGGGACCUUCCGUCCGAUCGGGGUGGCUCUGACCUGACCAUCCUGUGCCCGCCUCUCCUCCAGCCAGGCUGACAGCGUAGCAACGUGCGCCUCGAGUGUAAAAAACCUUACAGCACCCAGAAAGGAAGGGGGAGGCAAGCCAGUGUUUGUUUUUAUGGUUCUUAAAUGGUCUUUUCUCUUCUUGGCCUCCUCUGCAAAAUGAAUGAACCAUGUGCAGGUGUUAUGAUGUUAUCUGAUAUCAAGGGAGAGAGGGGAUCUAACAAUUUAUGCUCUGCAAAGGGUUUUAUAAAGCUUUUUUACACCCUCCCCUCUCAAACGAAUGGAUUAAAAAAAAUAUUAGUGGACCGGGAGUGGAGAAGAGAGCGAUUUGCUGAGAUGAAGGACUGCUAAUUACAUUCAGCAGAAGUUUAUACAUGUGACUUUGAACUUUGACUGCGAGCUGUGGAAAAUGAUCCCUGAGUUUUAAUGGCGGAAUGGAUGUCUUGUUGGGACGUUAUUUUUAGCUCAGCAUGUCCUUGAACAGUGGAAGGAAUGUUUUCAAAGGAGUGGACUGUAAAUGGAUAGACAACCAGGGCAGUUAAUCUCCCACACACCAGGUCUGAGGACAGAAUGCCAGAAGGGCUGCAUGCACAAAAUGGAUUUUUACAUGUUUGGGAAAUUACAAUGGUGCUGACUGUAUGGAAAUAAUCAAGUCCAGCCAUGACAACUGAUUAAAACUAGCAGGAUGAGAAGGUGGUGAAAAGAAUAAGGAAUUUAGCAACAUCAUGGAGAAUUGGACAUAUACAGUGGUGCCUCGCAAGUCGAAAUUAAUUCGUUCCGCGAGUUUUUUCGUCUAGCGAAUUUUUCGUCUUGCGAAGCACGAAAUCCCAUAGGAAUGCAUUGAAAUUCAAUUAAUGCGUUCUUAUGGUCAAAAAAAGUCCAAACAAAGCCAAAUUUGGUACAACAAGAGUUUAUUAAGUGCUCUUUAAAGUCACACAUACUGUAAAGAGCAUUUCAAAAAUUGAAGGAACAAUAAAUUCAAAAAUUGAAGGAACAAUAAAAAUCAGAAAAAUUCAGGAAAAAACCACACAAGCUUCCAGAUUCUUGCAAACCCCUCCUCAACUGUUCCCCCAGCCACCCACCACACAGAAAUUCAAAUCCAGAAUUUUUUUUAAAAAACAGCAGAGUGGCCCAAUGGUCACAGAAAAUCAUAAAAAUUCAGAAAAAAACCACACAAGCUUCCAGAUUCUUGCAAACCCCUCCCCAACACCAAGUCCUUGAAUUCCAAACACCCCAACCCAAAAUCCAAACCCCCCAAAAAAAGUUUUAAAAGUUUAACUUACCAAAUGGCUGCAAAAGAAGUUUUGGAAAAGCUUCAAAAAUCACCAAAGUCUUCAAAAACCUCAAAAAAGGCUACCACACCGCGUGCUAUGAGUUGCUCCUCGAAGUCAAGUCGCAACUGCACCUCUUCAAGCAAUGCACCCUGUAUUACUGUAAUGGUUUUAAGAAAAAGGAAACAAACUUGCAAGACGUUUUCGUCUUGCGAAGCAAGCCCAUAGGGAAAUUCGUCUUGCGAAGCAGCUCAAAAAACGCAAAACCCUUUCGUCUAGCGAGUUUUUUGUCUUGCGAGGCAUUCGUCUUGCAGGGCACCACUGUAUUUGCAACAGGUGCGGGAAACCUUUUCUUUAAAAAAAAAAAAGUAUAAAAUUUAAAUAAUUUGGAUUGAUUUGUUAAAAUUUGGAAAACUAAUAGAAAUUAAAUAAAUAAUAAAAAGAGAUCCAGCAUUUAGCUGACACUCAUGAUGCACAGAGUUUCUUAAAAGCCACAAAGACCAUCUAUGGACCAAUAAAUCAUGGCAUAUGCCCCCUAUGCUCAACAGAUGGUACCACACUUCUAAAAGAUAAAUGGCACUGGUGACAGCUGAGGGGGCUGGGGAGCAAACCUAGAACAGCAUUGAUUCAGGAAAGGAAAGCAAAUACACCCCAAGUACCAAUACAAUGGGACAUGGGUGGUGCUGUGGGACAUGGGUGGUGUUGUGGGUUAAACCACAGAGCCUAGGGCUUGUCGACCAGAAGGUUGGCGGUUUGAAUCCCCGCGACGGGGUGAGCUCCCGUUGCUCAGUCCCUGCUCCUGCCAACCUAGCAGUUCAAAAGCACGUCAAAGUGCAAGUAGAUAAAUAGGUACCGCUCUGGCGGGAAGGUAAACAGCGUUUUUGUGCGCUGCUCUGGUUCGCCAGAAGCGGCUUAGUCAUGCUGGCCACAUGACCUGGAAGCUGUACGCCGGCUCCCUUGGCCAAUAAAGCGAGAUGAGUGCUGCAACCCCAGAGUCGUCCGUGACUGGACCUAACGGUCAGGGGUCCCUUUACCUUUACCAAUACAAUAGCAAUUGUCAGGAUUACAGCUACCACUCUGGUUUACAUAAUAAAUGCAGGACUGGUUAAUAUAGGGUGCAGAGGCCUCCCUCCCGGGCCAAGGGGAGGUCUAAUGCCAUUUGUUGCUGUAGGAUCAUUUUCCCCAGUGAGUUAAUUUCUGUCUGCAAUCCAAUUAUAGGUGCUUUUGGCUGGGAAAUGUGGAAGUAAUUUGGGGACAAGAUAAUGGGACUCUUGUGGAGUUGAGCUCAGUUAGGCUUAGCAGGAGUGCUAUGUAAAGAAGUCCUUAAGCAGUGUGUGUCACUGCGUGUUGUCCCACCCAGCAAUUGGUGUCAUUGAUCUCCCUUAAUACGUUAUGGGUGUAUAUAACAGGGACAUGUUUUCUUUUUUAAAUUUUUUUUAAUUAAUUUUAAAACAUAAUAAUUAUCAUACAUUCCACAAAAUUUUACCUCUUAUACAAUCUUUUUGGACUUCCAUCAGCACCUCUGGUGAUCUCCCAUUUUUAUAAUUUCUUCUGCAUUUCUUAAAUUCAUAUUGCCUUUAAUUAUCAUAACUAACGUCAUCCUUUUCGUUCAAUAAUGCAAUAAUUCAAAUUAUCCCCCUUACAACACUUCCUGCAAACCUACAAAUGUCAUCUGGUCAUCACAAUUACUUUUCAAAUAGUCUGUAAAUUUACGCCAAUCUUCUGUGAAUCUCUGGUCCCACCGGUUUCGAAUUCUUCCUGUUAGUUUGUCUAAUUCUGCAUAGUCCAUCAAUUUCAUCCUCCAAUCUUCUUUCGUUGGUAAUUCUUCUUGCUUCCAUUUUUGUGCCAAUAAUAUUCUUCUUCCGUCAUUACAUACAAAAACAGCUUACAAUCAUUUCUAUUUAUAUCAUCCCCUACAAUGCCUAGUAAAAAUGCUUCUGGUUUUUUAAUGAAUGUAUAUUUCAACAUUUUUUUUUCAUCUCAUUAUAUAUCAUUUCCCAGAAGUUUUUCACCUUUUUACAUUCCCACCACAUGUGAUAAAAAGUUCCUUCUUUUUCUUUACAUUUCCAACAUUUAUUGCUUACCUUAUACAUUUUAGCCAGUUUGACAGGUGUAAUAUACCAUCUAUAAAACAUUUUCAUCACAUUUUAUUUUAAGGCAUUGCAUGCAGUGAAUUUUAAACCUUCCUUCCAUAAUUUUCCCCACACAUUCAGCUGUAUAUUAUACCCAAAGUCUUUAGCCCAAUGAAUCAUAACCGACUUUACCUCCUCAUCCUUCAAAUGCCAUUCAAGCAGCAAUUUAUACAUUUUAGACAAAAUUUUAUACUUAUUACUUAAUAUCUCAACUUCAAACUUUGACUUUCAUGAAAUCCUUUUUCUUUGAAAUCCUGUUUAAACAUUUCAUUGACCUGAUGAUAGUGUAGCCAAUCUCUUACAUAUUCUUUAACUUCUUCAUAUGGUUUCAUCUUCCAUUUACUUCCUUCUUUUUGUAUUAAUCUCCCAUAAGUUAUCCAGUUUCCCUGCAUAUUGAUCUUUUUCACACUCAUUGCUUCUAAUGGAGAUAACCAGUGUGGUGUUUUUUGUUCCAAUAGGUUUUUAUACCUAUCCCAUAUUUCUAUUAGAGAUCUUCGAAAUAUGUGGUUUCCAAAUCCUUUAUGGACUUUUGCCUUAUUAUGCCAUAAAUAUGCGUGCCAACCAAAUCUAUUAUCAUAACCUUCUAAGUCUAACAAGUCCGUAUCUUCUAAUACCAUCCAUUCCUUUAACCAACAGAGGCAAGAUGCUUCAUAAUACGAUUUCAAAUCUGGCAGGGCAAAGCCUCCUCUUUCUUUAGCAUCUGUUAAUAACUUAUACUGUAUUCUCGGCUUUUUCCCCUGCCAGAUAUAUCUUGAAAUUGUUUUUUGCCAUUCUUGAAAAAUUGUUGCCCCUUUGAUUAUUGGAAUUGACAGAAACAAAAAUAACAUCUUUGGUAGCACAUUCAUUUUGAUAGCAGAAAUCCUUCCCCAAAAUGACAAUUUCAUCCUUCCCCAUAUUUCCAGAUCUCUUUUAAUUCCAUUCCAAACCGGUAUAUAAUUAUUUUGGAAAAGAUCAAUGUUUCCUUGGAAAAAGAGGAGAAAAGAAGGUGAGAGACUGUUUGAUCACUCUUCGAACAAAAGAAGAGAGGGAUAAGAUCUUGGGUUUGCAUUUCCAGAAGACACUGGAAAUACAUCAGACAAGAGUGGAGAUAUUUAAGGACAUUCCGAAACACCUUCUGGAUCUCAGAUCUAACUAUAAAGACUUGGUUAUCUUGCUGAAAAGUAAUAGGAUUAAUUUCAGGUGGGAAUUUCCUCAAGGCCUAUCUUUCAGUUACAAAGGAAAGAAGAGGAAAAUAAGAUCGGAAGACGACAAAGACAAAUUUUGGAGAGACCACGGAGAAGACCUACAAAAGAAAGUCACAGGAGAGUUUAGAACAACUGCAAGAGAAGCUCUAGAAAUACCAGGACUAUCUCUGGAACUUAAAGACCGUCUGGAAAAAGUGAUACCACCGGCGGAAGAGGAACAGGCACUUGGGGCCGUUGGAGGAGAACCAAAAUAACUACAUCAUGGCCCUGCAACUACUAACCUGGAAUUGUCGUGGUUUGAAUUCCCCUCAGAAAAGGAAAUCAGUAUUUCAUUUAUUGAAAAAGGAACAAUUAGACCUAAUUUGUUUACAAGAAACACAUAUAACAAGAUUACACAGGAAAUUGUUGAUAAAUAAAAGACUUGGUCAGGAGUUUAUUUCAUCGGACAAAGUUAAAAAAAGAGGGGUUGUGAUUUAUGCAAAGGACAGAUUAUCACCGAAAUUUGUUUUUAAAGAUGACCAAGGUAGAUUUGUGGCAAUUGAAAUUCAAACACAAGGAGAAAAAUUUUUGAUAGUAGGAAUUUACGCACCAAAUGAUGGGAAAUCUGAAUUUUUUUAAGAAGUUGCAUGAGACCCUGAUGGACCAUAUGGAUUACAACAUGAUUCUGAUGGGCGAUAUGAAUGGAGUGGUAUCUACAUAUAUGGACAAGGCACAAAGACAGGUAGUCACUAAGGAUGGUAGACUACCGAAAACUUUUUUUGAUAUGACAGACAACUUGGACUUAGUGGACAUUUGGAGAAUAAGAAACCCCAUGGCCAAAGAGGGAACUUUCUUUUCUGAAGCCAAAAUGACAUGGACAAGAAUUGACCAAAUUUGGAUAACUAGAGGAAUGGCACCAAAGACAAGAAAGGUGGAAAUCUGCCCGAAAAUUUGCUCCGACCACAAUGCUGUUAAGAUGGAAAUGAGACUAACACCAACUGGCUCCUUCAGAUAGAAGAUGAAUGACACCUUAUUUAGGGAUGAAGAACUAUUAAAGAAGGCCCAAAAAACAUUGAGAGACUAUUUUGAGAUAAAUUUGAGCACUAACGUGGAGAAAAGAGUAAUCUGGGACGCAAGUAAGGCGGUUAUGAGAGGGUUCUUAAUACAACAGAAUGCAGUAAAGAAAAGAAUUCAAAAUGAGAAGAAGGACAAGAUAAUGGACAAAAUAAAGGAAAGUGAAAAAAGAUUGAGAGUAAAUCCAAAAUCUCAAGAGAUUUUAAGAGAGUUAAAGUUACAUCAAGUACAAUAUAUGAAAAUGAUGAAUCAGGAAAUAGAAUGGAAAAUUAAACAAAUGAGACAAAAGACAUUUGAGUCGGCCAAUAAAUGUGGUAAACUGUUGGCAUGGCAAAUGAAAAAGAGACAAAAACUAAACACAAUUACGAACUUAGAAGUGGAAGGAAGAAAUAUACAGAACCCUGCAGAGAUUAGAAAUUGUUUCCAGAGAUACUUUAAACGAUUAUAUACUCAAGGGCCAUUGAAAGAAACAGACUUAGACCAAUUUUUGAAAACAAAUGGAUUACAAAAAAUAUCUCAAGAAAAUAAACUAAUUUUGAACUAUAAAAUAACGGAUCAGGAAAUAGAAGGUGCCAUUCAAAAUAUGCAAUUGGGCAAAUCUCCAGGACCAGAUGGCUUGACUUCUAGAUACUACAGAACUUUGAAAGAAUGGUUAAUUCAACCUUUGAAAGAGGUCUGCAAUGAAAUAAUGGAGGGGAAAAGAGCACCAGAGUCGUGGAAAGAAGCAUAUAUUACACUUGUACCGAAAACAGAGACUGAAAAGACACAGCUUAAGAACUACCGCCCUAUAUCAUUACUUAAUGUGGAUUACAAAAUUUUUGCAGAUAUUUUGGCUAAGAGAUUUUAAAAAGUGUUAAUGGAAGAGAUUCACAAAGACCAAGCGGGCUUUCUCCCAGGAAGACAUUUGUCUGCUGCACCGUGAGUGUUGGGGAAGGCCGCUCCCUCCUCAGGCUAAUUCCACCAGGCCUAGGGGGCGGGGCCCAGACUCACCUUCGCCACAGCUUUAAGAAGCCUCACUGAGGCACUGGGACAUCGCUGCUGCUGCACCGUGAGUGUUGGGGAAGGCCGCUCCCUCUUCAGGCUAACUCCAUCAGGCCUAGGGGGCGGGGCCCAGACUCACCUUCGCCACAGCUUUAAGAAGCCUCACUGAGGCACUGGGACAUCGCUGCUGCUGCACCGUGAGUGUUGGGGAAGGCCGCUCCCUCUUCAGGCUAACUCCAUCAGGCCUAGGGGACGGGGCCCAGACUCACCUUCACCACAGCUUUAAGAAGCCUCACUGAGGCACUGGGACAUCGCUGCUGCUGCACCGUGAGUGUUGGGGAAGGCCGCUCCCUCUUCAGGCUGAUUCCACCAGGCCUAGGGGGCGGGGCCCAGACUCACCUUCACCACAGCUUUAAGAGGCCUCACUGAGGCACUGGGACAUCGCUGCUGCUGCACCGUGAGUGUUGGGGAAGGCCGCUCCCUCCUCAGGCUAAUUCCACCAGGCCUAGGGGGCGGGGCCCAGACUCACCUUCGCCACAGCUUUAAGAAGCCUCACUGAGGCAUUGGGACAUCGCUGCUGCUGCACCGUGAGUGUUGGGGAAGGCCGCUCCCUCUUCAGGCUGAUUCCACCUGGCCUAGGGGCGGGGCCCAGACUCACCUUCGCCACAGCUUUAAGAAGCCUCACUGAGGCAUUGGGACAUCGCUGCUGCUGCACCGUGAGUGUUGGGGAAGGCCGCUCCCUCUUCAGGCUGAUUCCACCUGGCCUAGGGGGCGGGGCCCAGACUCACCUCCGCUACAGUUUUAAGGACACUGGUGCUGCCGCAGCAAUUGUUAAAAAUGUUUUUAUAUAUUUUAAAGUAUUUUAAAGGUGUUUUUACUUCUUACGUUAUUGUACCACCGUGAACAGUGGUUUUUAUCUAUGUAUUUUUAUUUUGUUCUGUUUUAUUGUGGUUUGGGGUGGGGAUUGGUUUUGCUUAGGUAGAAUUGUUUUCAGUUUGGUUUGGUUUUCUAUUUUGUAAAUGGAGGCUUGUAUGAGGCUUGGGAUUGCUACCGUGGAGGGGCGAGGGAGGUAUGGUGGUGGGGGCAGAUGUUAUAGGCGAAGGGGAUCGAGAUACGGAUAUGCUCGUACCCCUUCCAAUCUGCGCCCCAUCCCGAGGGACGAGGGUAGGGUGAGCAAGGAUUACUCACCUCCGUCACUGGUGUUGUGCAAUGCCAGGUCUAUAGGCAACAAAACCGCCACUCUGCGAGAUUUCUUUACCUCGCAGGGGUUGACCUGGCUUGUGUGACGGAGACCUGGGUACGCGAAGGGGCAACAGUUACCUUACGAGAGAUGGCGCCCCGGGUUUCUCCGUCCUCCACCAGUCACGGACUGUGGGCCGGGGGAGGGGUGGCAUUAUUAAUCCGGGAAGAUUGUCCUUUCAGGGCUCUACCAUCGCCAUCGAUCCCCGGCAUUGAAUGUGUUGGCCUAGUGUGGGGCUCUGAGGUGAGCUUGGCUGUCUGGCUGGUGUACCGGCCACCUAGCGCACCAGCAGCCACCCUGUCAGGCCUACUGGAGGCGGUGGCCGGCUGGGCCUUGGAGUUCCCUAACCUAUUGGUAUUGGGGACUUCAACAUCCAUGCUGAUGCCACUCCCUCCUCACAGGCUCUGGACCUGGUGUCUUCCAUGGCAACACUAGGGCUCUCCCAGUUUGUUUCAGGCCCCACACAUCAAGCAGGCCACACGCUGGAUUUGAUCUUUGGCGUAGGUAUAGAUGUGAUCAUGUCUCCUUCAAUUAAGGUGCCAUGGUCUGAUCACUACGCUCUGAAAGCCAGGAUUGACUUUCCACCCCCACCCUGCUUAGGUGGCGAGCCGAUUUGGGCUCGCCCGCAGAGGCUGAUGGACCCUGAUAGAUUCCGUCAAGCCUUGCGGGACCUUGCUCCCCUGGCGACUCAUUGACUGAGCUUGUUGAGGGCUGGAAUACCCAGCUCCUGGCAGCCAUAGAUGAGAUCGCACCUAAGCGCCCUCUGCGACUCCGCAGAAACCGGGCUCCCUGGUUUACCGAGGAGCUUCGGAAAAUGAAGCGGGACCUCAGACGGCUAGAGCGAGUAUGGCGGGGUGCCCGUGACGGAGCCUCAAGAACAUCUUAUAGGGUUUUUAUGAAAACCUAUGAGAUGGCGGUGAAGGCCGCUAAGAAGUCUUACUUCUCGGCCUCCAUUGCAUCCGCUAGCUCUCGCCCGGCGCAAUUAUUUAGUAUAAUUAGGUCUUUAACGUCCCUUGAAGGACAGCCAAAUUUAAAUAACAAUCUGACACACAGCUGUGAGGCAUUUGCGAGCUUUUUUGCGGAGAAGGUCCUGUUGCUCCGCCAUGACCUCCCUGCCAAUUUGGAUACAAUAAAGGAACUGGAGGCCCCUCGACUGUCCUCGGGUCCAGUAUUGGACCACUUUGAUCGGAUAUCCCCAGCCGAUGUGGACAGACUCCUCCGAGCUGGAAAGCCCACCACCUGUCCUCUUGACCCGUGCCCGUCUUGGCUGAUUAGAGCGUGUCCAGACGAGGUGCGGGCCCCUGGGAGAUAUCAUCAAUUUGUCCCUUGGCACCGGGAUAUUUCCAGGGGAAUUGAAGGAGGCAGUGGUGCGCCCGCUCUUAAAGAAAACAUCAUUAGAUCCCUUAGAUCUAUCCAAUUACCGCCCGGUUUCGAAUCUUCCAUUCCUGGGUAAGGUGAUUGAGAGAGCGGUUGCUGAACAGCUUGGUAGGUUUCUGGAUGAAACAUCGGCUCUGGAUCCAUUCCAGUCUGGCUUCCGCGCUGGUCAUGGGACCGAGACGGCUCUGGUCGCCCUAACAGAUGAUCUCCGCAGGCAGCUGGAUCGAGGCGGGUCGGGGCUGCUGAUUCUUCUAGACCUGUCAGCAGCCUUCGACAUGGUUGAUCACGAACUCCUGGACCACCGCCUUGCCGACGUGGGGAUCCAGGGCACAGUCCUUCAAUGGCUGCGCUCGUUUCUCUCCGGUCGGGGACAGAGGGUGGCGCUUGGGGGAAUUGUCAUCCCGCCACUCCUUGGUGUGUGGAGUGCCUCAGGGUGCGAUACUCUCCCCGAUGCUUUUAACAUCUUUAUGCGCCCCUCGCCCAGCUUGUCCGGAGUUUUGGGCUGGGUUGCCAUCAGUAUGCCGAUGACACCCAACUCUAUCUGUUGAUGGAUGGCCAUCCUGACUCGGCCCCAGACACACUGACCAGAUGUUUGGAAGCUGUGGCUGGAUGGUUACGCGGAAGCCGGUUGAAGUUAAAUCCUUCGAAGACAGAGGUCCUCUGGCUGGGACGGGACGAUAUGGGAUUGGGGGGGCAACUCCCAUCUCUUGCGUGGGUGCAAUUAGUGCCAGCACCGUCCGUUAAGAGUUUGGGUGUAAUCUUCGAUACCUCCCUCUCUAUGGAGGCGCAGAUUACAGCUAUAACAAAGGCGGCAUUUUUCAUCUCCGCCAAGCUAAGCAGUUGGCCCCUUAUCUCUCUCGCCCUGACCUAGCCACUGUGAUCCACGCGACGGUCACCUCCAGACUGGAUUAUUGUAACUCGCUCUACGUGGGGCUGCCCUUGAGACUGACCCAGAAACUCCAGCGGGUGCAGAAUGCCGCGGCGAGACUCCUUAUGGGGUCUUCGCUGCGAGAUCACAUUCAUCCGGUACUAUACCAGCUGCACUGGCUCCCGGUGGAGUACAGGAUCAGGUUUAAGGUGCUGGUUUUAACCUUUAAAGCCCUAUACGGCCUAGGACCCUCGUACCUACGGGACCGCCUCUCCUGGUAUGCCCCACAGAGGAACCUACGGUCUGCAAAUAAAAACAUCCUGAAGGUCCCAGGCCUCAGAGAGGUUAGGCUGGCCUCAACUAGAGCCAGGGCUUUCUCGGCUGCGGCUCCAAUCUGGUGGAACGCUCUGUCACAAGAGACUAGGGCCCUGCGGGACCUGACAUCUUUCCGCAGGGCCUGCAAGACAGAGUUGUUCCACCAGGCCUUUGGUCAGGGCCCAGCCUGACUCCCACCUCCGGCAACCUGCACAGAACUUUGCUUAACGGUUGCCAUUAAUUUGAUUUUAAUUAAUUUUAUAAUGAAAUGUUUUAGAAUGUUGGAUUAUUUGAUUGUUUGAUUAUUUGUUUGUUGUUAGCCGCCCUGAGCCUGGCUUUGGCUGGGGAGGGCGGGAUAUAAAUAAAAUUUAUUAUUAUUAUUAUUAUAAUUGAUAUUUUGGAAAAACUAGAAGUGAACAUAAACACUAAGGCAGUUUUGAUAUUUGUAGAUGUGGAGAAAGCCUUUGACAACAUUUCUUGGAAUUUUAUGAAGAAGAAUCUACAGGGUAUGGGGGUAGGCCAAGGUUUUGAGAAUGGUAUAAGUGCAAUUUAUUCAGAACAAAAGGCUAAACUAAUUGUAAAUAAUGUUGUGACGGAAGAACUUAAAAUUGAAAAAGGGACACGACAAGGUUGCCCAAUUUCCCCACUCCUUUUUAUUUCGGUCCUGGAGGUUUUGCUGAAUAUGAUUAGAAGGGAUCAGUUGGUUAAAGGUAUACAGGUCGGAACUAAACAGUACAAAUUGAGAGCAUUUGCAGAUGACUUAGUAUUGACGUUACAGGAGCCAGAAUCUAGUACUAAAAGGGUUUUAGAACUGAUUCAAGAAUUUGGUCAAGUGGCAGGAUUUAAAUUGAACAAGUUAAACACUAAGGUUUUAGAGAAAAAUUUAACACCGAUUGAAAGAGAGAGGUUUCAGAAUGAGACAGGUUUAACAGUGGUUAAGAAAGUUAAAUACCUGGGAAUUAACAUGACAGCAAAAAAUGGGA
rnacentral:lncRNA from 1 species